CGUGCGGCCGAAAACAGUUGUGUUUACGCGCAAUGCUGGCGAUCACAGAGUUUCGCAGUCGAAAAAUAUCACGAUAGACGCAUCAGAGGACCCAUGUAUAGGUAACGUAUAUUAUGAGUUUUUUUUUUAAAUAUUUAAGCGCGUAAUUUAUGGUAAAAUCCGUCCGAGACCGUUGACAAAAACGGAAAUUCGAAAGUCGGCGAAUAAACUUUGUAAAACGGAAACCUGUGACAAACAGGGACGGGUAUAUUUCUUCAGUCCGUUGGCGAGCUCCACUGUUUUAGAUAGUUUUCAUCCCUGCGAUAAUAUUUACAUUGCAUAUUAUGAUAAGCUACGUAAGCUACAUUAUUAUAGUACACCGGCUGUUUUUGAGCAGGGAAGGGUGGUUUCUCCUUUAGCCAAUGUAAAUUUUUAAGAACGGUAUAAUCACCAUCAUUCACCGACACAUUGAAUAUUUAUUCUUCUUCUUAUUUCGCUAAAAGCUAUCCCUAUAGUCCGUAUACCGAAUAUAGACUUUUAUUCCUCUCUAUUUAAUGCCAGAGUCUAUUUAUAACAUGUGAAUAUACAUCGUUUCAUCGAGCCAAUUCGAUCAUCUCUCUUAUGAUGAAUGUCCUUCCUUGGACUUCCUCUUCCUUCGCGUCCUUCGGUUCUUCUUUCCAUUAUGUCGGUUAUGAUCUAAUAAUAGGUAGUAAUAAUAUGUUUUGGAGAUUUUUUACAUUGCUCUUCAAAAAUAUUACGAAAUAAUCUGGUAAAAACCAUUUACUAUAAAUACAAAUUAUUUCAUUGAACUAUAAUAUAAUUUUAAUAAUUAUAUACAACUUGAGACAAUUACGCAUCACCAACAAUGGUUGUAAACUAGUUACAAUAGUAAUAUUACCACCGGUGAGAGAAUUUCCUAAAUAAAAUAAAAUAUUGUGUUACAAAAUUUACUAAUUCGUAUCAUUUACCGUUUAUAUCUGAACGACGUAUAAUAUCUAAGUGAAAUUUUACUUUACCGGAUGUGAGUGUCCAUUAGACUUCACUGUGUGUCUAUUUGGACAAAGAGAACUCCCUAAAAAAUGCCUUGCACGGUACUUAAAAUUAUACAUGUACUCGGUAUACGUAUAGUUGAUUACAUUUUAUACUAGAAUUAUAAAGUCGUAUGAAACGGAUUUUACUAUAUCGUCUAUAUCCGCCUUUUAUGGAUAUAAUAUAAUGGUCGUGUUGACGGUGUGCGCGGAGAGGGUUGGGAUGAGAGGGACCCUGGCGACGACGAGUAGAAGUUUGACUUUAUCUGCUCUGCAGGAUGAUAAAUGAACGAGGCGUCGUCAUCGUGUAGGAUUAAAAACGCUUAAUGUCUGCGAGACGCAGAUUAAUGUACAGUAAUAAGGAUAAAAACACCCUUGUAAUAUUAAUUAAAAAAAAAUAAGAAAAAAAAUACUCGAGUUCUCCCCUCUUAUUGCAGUGUCGGUGCGCCACUCGAAAAAUCAAGAAAUUAAUGCCACCGCUGCCGCCACCGUAGUCGUUUCUUAAUUUAUUUUUCCUCGUUAAAACUUUUAGUUCCGAAAUAAAAAAAAAAAAAAAAACGGUCCAAUUACGAACGGCGCUAUGGCGGCCGUGGCGUCGGCGAGGGUAUUUUUUUCUUUUUUUGCUUCGUAAGAAUUCGUAAUUAAUGGAAUAAUUUGAUCGGGGAAGGGCGGGAAAUAAACUUGUAAACAGAAAAAAAACAACCAAUUUAAUUACGUCGCACUAACAUCGGCGCUUGGAGCAAAUUCGCAUAAAGGACAAAUGUUUCAAACGUUUCAUUAUAGAGAAAUUCAGCGUAUUCGUUUGCUUAACGGCGCGUAAAGCCUCCUAAAGCCCUCCCUCUUUUCCGGGGUACGCCAUUGCGUGUUAUUAUAAUCAUUCAUAUUUAAACAAUUAAAUAAGUCGUUAUUGCUAUUUUGUUGUUCUAUUUUCCAAUUCAAAUUGUAGAGCGCAGUGGCGUGCCCAGGAAUUUUAAACGGGAGAGGAUGUAACAAAUAAGAAUCGUGAUUACAUUGUAAAAUCUUAACUUAACUAUGAGAAUUGGUAAUUUAAAAGCUGGAUUCCGAAGAAACGCCAAUUUAUAAUCAAUAUAAAGCUUUAUAAAUCAAACUUUUCUUCGUAACUUGGCUAAAAUAUAUGGAUUUUAAUGUAAGAUUACUUUUUUUUUUUUAUGCCUAUGUGGGGGCAUAUAAUUCCCCUCAAUCCUAUGCACGCCACUGACUGAGUGUUAAAAGUUUUAUUAAAUUUUAAUAUGAAUUUCACCAUUUUCUUGCGGGAAGAGAGUAAUUUUAUAUAUUCCAGCACUCUUAAUAAAGACGCCCUAAAUGAAGCCAGAAUUUUCAAAAUGCAUAACGCUAUUAUUAAAAGUGUGCCUUUUGGAUGUUUUAAAUUUCAACGGCCACCCUAAACUAUAUUUUUUUGAAAAUAUAGUAUUGUAUUAUUAUAGUGUUAGCAGAUUUAUUAUUUUGCGAAGAAUAUUUCGGUAACAAUGUAAAAGGCGGUAGGAAAAUUCAACUAGGUACUCUACAGUUUCGAAGCUCUGCUGAUCAUCGUUUUUUUCUAUCUCUGUUUCAUAGAUAGUGACGAGUUUCAACCGUACAAAUGUUUCAAACGUUGGGUUAGGUUAUCGUUCGCAUUAUUUGCCGCUUACGAAUGUGCUCUAGGAACGGUGAUGUUUUUGCACGACGCUAUAUAAUAUUAUAACAUCGUUAGCGAAACGGUCGGGUGGCGUGAAUUGGAAGCGAAAAGCUCGAUUCCGAGGUGUUUUUUUUAUUUUUUUUUUUUGAAUUUAAACCGAAUAAAAAUGUUAACACGAACGCGAGGAUAUUAUAAUAAUAUACCUAUAUAAGGUAUACCCCGUGCGAGAGUCUUAUUAGAUUUGGGAAACGUCUCGGUAAAUCGACGAAUAUUUAUCAACACGCUCGCACACACACGUAUAUAACAAAAUAAACUACGCGUUUUUUUUUGCUCCCCGUCAUGACGUUUCCGUCGUAGUAAUAAUAAUAAUGAUGUAUACCCCGAGAAUAGAUAUACAUACACACAUAUACUUAUUUCUACAUAUAUAUAUGUAUAUACACUUUUUCCCUCAAAACUGUUUAUGGAAACGAAGGCAAUUGAAAUGGUGUUUUUUUUUCUUCUUAUCCUUCUUCUCGAGAGUUUAUUUUAUUUUAUUAUUAUUAUUAUUAUUAUUAUUUUUUUUUUCGGCGCGGGUCGAUAACGCGUCUGAAAAGAGAGCUUUCGGAUGACGCCUUUUUUUUUUUUUUUUUUUUUAGUUUUGUUAUGAAAGGGAGUCAUUGCGCGCGCCCGGAGAACAAAAGAGUAAGAGAACAAGCUGGAUCAGUGACUACUGGAGAGAUUUUUUUCUUUUCUUUUCUUUUUUUUUUCUUCCCGUUAUAUAUACUCUACACACUUUUGAUUUUAAUGAGAACGGUUACGGCGUAAAGAUCCCGAAGGGCUAUAUAAUAAUAAUAAUAAUAUAAUAAUACUCUCUAUAUAGUAUAUAAGGAAAAGAAACAAUAACAAACGGCGACGGCGGACGGGCGGGCUAUCGGGUCAAAUUUCAAAAGAAAAUCAAAAGCGAAAGGAAUCGAUAUAUUUAUAUGUAUGCACUCUAAUAUUUUAUUUUUCUCUUUUGAUUUUUGUUAACGUGUUCUAAACGUGACUCAAGUUCCGAGCGCGGGGGAUAGUUCGGGCGCGAUGAAAAUUGUUUAAAAAAAAUUCGCUACCUAUAUCGGUUUGAAGAAAAAAAAAAAACAACCCCCGUCUAUGUUGUAUACGGUUGUAUAGAGUUUAACGGGUGUAAUAAUGUUAUUUCUAUACUCGGUAAAAACACUGGUGGUAGUAAGCAAUAGUUUCGGGCGGAGGGGGGAGCGUUUUGCGAAUAACAAAAAAAAAAAAAACAACUUUUUUUCGACCGUAUACACGUGUCUUUCGUUUAUUCGUCGUGUCCGUGUCAUUUUAUUUAACGGUAUAUAUAUUUUAGUGUGUGCCGCACACAUACACCUGUAGUUAAAAAUAUCUGCAGUUAUUGUUCGCGCGUAGCCUGAAGGUUUCGCGAACUUGAAAAACGUUUUUUAUACUAUUAUACAUCUGUAUACGUAUUACUUGCGUGAGUAUAUCUGACUCAGCGACUAUUUUAAACGGUGUUUCCAGUGAAAUUUUUAUAGGUUUUCGAGAGAGUGAAAUAAAGAGGUUUUUCAGACAAAAGAGCUCAAAUGACAUUUUCGUCCUCAUAUAUUAUCUUACAAUAUUGCAGGCACGUUUAGUACCUACAAAUGUCGCUUGGACCAGUUAUGCAUAGCCUAUUCAUAUUGUGCACGAACUGUCGUUUGCAUCCUAAAUUUAAAAACUCACGAUAAAAACGUGCGUUUAAUUAUAUCUAUUUAACGCGAUCUAACAAAAAACGAUAUAAUGUAGGUGCAAUUUUUUUAAUCAGCAAUAAUAAAUGCUCCGAAACGUAUACACACCACGUUGUUGUGCGAUGCGAAAUGUCAACGAUAGUAGUAGUAUUAAAUUAUCAUUAAGAAACAGUUUUUUUUUUUGGUAAAGUGAUCAAGAAGUUGGUUAUGUUAUUGAUCCUUUAUAAAAUAAGGGAAUAGGAACGCCUUGGACUCCGGACGACAUUGCGUAAGACAUUUUUCGGGUUCCUUAAAAAAAAAUUGUAUUUUAUGUUAUUUUUAGUGUUUGAAUUUAUUAUGCAUUGAUCAUACAGCGUGUUGCAUAUAUUCCCUAAGUACGGCCUAUAAUAUAGUAUAACAAUGUAUGCUUUAAGAGCGGGUUGAAUAAAGAUCAGUUUGUGACUUUACUUUUACUUUUGGUUUGUAAAAAAAAAAAUUGAGUCGCAUAAAAGAUUUGUAUUUUAUUGAUAACAUUUGUUACCAGAUAAAUUAUACCAUAUUUUAUUUGAUUACAAUAAUUGUCAAAAAAAAAAAACAGUCGUGGGAGAAAAUAACAAAGCUGUACAAUAAAAUAAUCCAAAAAUUGAAAAUAGAAUAAUUUUAGAAAGAAAUUAUAAUUCUUAUCACCGUAUGUUAACGCUAACGAACGUUCAAGCAAAACCUGUUAAAAAUAAUUAUUUUUAACGGUCCAGUAGUGAGUUAAAGGCUUUGCAGUAAAUCGCUAAUGAACGUUUAUGCGACCCAGCCAAAAAGAUGCGGAUUUCAUGUCCGGUGCAGAUGCACCUAUGUGCUUUGUUUGAAACGUUUUUCUACAUAUUCCCAAUAUGGCCGUACAGGUACUUAAGUAAAUGCCGUCGAGCCCUUAAAAUUAUUCAAAACAUAUUCGAAUCUGAUUCAUAUUUGACCUGGACAAUCGAAAUUUGCAAGCGAUCUUUAUAAAUAUAUAUUGUAUAUAUUGGCGGUCAAUUACGCAAGUUUCGAUCGAUUUUAUUAGUGCGCAAUAAAAAAAAUGACGUGUUUCCGCACGGUUUAUAUAAAUUGCUUUAAACGCGUCGUAAACCGUCAAUCGUUUUUCGACGUUUUAAGUAUGAUAUUCAUAUCAUAAACUAUCUAUAUAAUAUUAUAGGUUAUAUAUGUUUAAAAAAAAAAACUACUUUUUCAUGCGAAAAUUUCAAUAAAACUAUACCGAUUUUUUCGUCAUUUCCCGUAUCGUUUAUAAAUAAUGAAAAAAAAAAUUUUUUUAAAUCGAAAACUAAAGGCAACAUAUCGUAUAUUACGUGUAUUUACACGAAUUUUUUGUCGUAAACGUGUAAGAUCAAGAAAAAAAAAAUUUAAAAAAAAAUGAUCGUCUCUAUUUUUAUAAAUACACGUCAAUAUGUGUAAAGAGCGUAUUUGCUAUAUAAUAUCAGUUGAACACAUAAUAUAAUAUGCUUAUCGUUUUGUUUUUCUUUCACCACUGUCCCUAGCUGUUUUUCCCACUCUCGUGAAUUAUAGUUAAAUUUAUUGCGACGACGAGAUUCCGUCGCAUUAGUUACAAAUAUAAUAUAUGACGUAAUACGUAUACUAUAUCCAUAUAUACGUUUGUACAAUAAAAAAUCUUUACGACUCUAAAAGUUUAUCUAAAAAGAAAUAGUACCUCAAUUAUUCGGUCCACUGUGAGCUUUCCGCAGUCCAUUAUCGUAUACACGCAAUAAAUGACGUCGGGGCAUAUUUGACCGUAAAACUCGGACAUAAAGUACGGUGGCUGCUGACGAUGGCCUAUAAUUCGCAAACGGGAACCAUUAACAUUUAUUCUGGUCUCGACGAAAUACAUUAUCUCGAAUAUUCGAAUUUAAAUUGUAUUUAUAUAUGUAUUAUAUAUAACCGAAUCUCAUUCGCUGGCAUUUUAUAGUAUGGAAGAGAAGCAAUAUAGUCGUAAAAGUCAUUUAGGGAAGAAAAAAAAAUGUACAAUAUAUAGAGCAUAUAAAUAAUACAUCAUUUCGAUGUAUGACAUAUAAUGCACGAUGUUCGUUUGGUUUUUUUUUCCGUUUAACGAACGGUAAAAGUCAAUUAUUUAUAGGUACCAUCACACUGUCCCUGCUUAACAGGUACCUGGAUACGCGCCUGCGAAAAGGAUACCGCCGUGUCGGCUAUAGUCCAAUGCAUGGUGUUCAUAGGUGCAUAGUCCAGUGCAUACAUCGUAUAUCCUUGAAUAGUUUUUUAAAAAAAAAAAAAAAAAAUAAUAAUAAAAUCCGUUGUAUUAUUGCCGUUGCACGUCCGUUCAUACAUAACACUAAGUAUGCCACUAAAACCGUCAUAGUAAUAUAAAUCGUAUCCAUUUAUUUCAGUAGCAUUAUAACUAAAAAAUACACAAUUUAACUUUUCUUACGAUUAUAAUUGAUUAUUGUUUUUUUUUUUUUUACAAUGUUAAGUAUUUUAUGUCGGUAAAUUAUAAUUUAAUAUUUGUAUAAUCGAUAUGUUAUCUGUGUAGUAUACUCUCAAAAAAUUCGACUUGAACACUACCGGAAUCAACGGCUACAGUUGUACGUAUUAUACGGUAUAUUACCUAGAGGUAGUGUUCAGUGUUAAAUCCAGGCGCAUGACAAUCAAAUGGAAAUCAAAUUAAUUAAAAGGUCAUUAAUAUAACUUAAGUAAUGCUCCUCCCCCCCCCAGAAAAAUUGUCUGGAUUCCAGUGUGAUUGUGUUCCAUUUUACGGAGAAAUUUUCCCGUACGUGUAUCCGUGCGAGAGAUAGAAAAAAAAAAAAUGUUAAGGCACGUAAAAAAUAUAUGACGCGUACGGAAUUAAAAUAAAAAAAAAAAAAACCCAACUCGUUAUUCGCUAUACGCCCGCGGGCGAUGUCUGCAAAUGCGAUUUCGGUCUGUCAUUAAAUGCGAUCUCGCGAUUCUCGAGCGUGACGCGAAAUUCGCCCGUGCACGCGUCGUCGUAAUAUUAUACAAAUUAUUGUACCCGCGGGCUAUAAAUAUAUAAAAUAUAUAUUAUGUAGUAACUCUAUAUAUUGAUACAUUAUAUACCUUAUACAUACAUAAAUUGGUGUUAGCCAACAAUAUCAACAUCAAGGGCUGGUUUUUUUUUUUUUUAGAUUUAUUCCAUAUCGAUACGCAGGGCCGAAUUAUUUAAAAUAUUACGAUGUUCUUAAGAAAGAAAAAAAAAACAUUUCGCGUUAAAAUCGUGAAAAAACUCGGGAAAAUUUGUUUUUUCCAUUAUGAUUAAAACGAUAAGAUAAUAUAUCGACGAUAAGAUGUAUGUCAUGUACUGAUGGUUAUUGUCUUUACAACCCACCACACGUCAAACACGAAAUAAUUUCGCGUUUUAACCGUAGACAUUAUCGUCCAAAAAGUAAACGUGCAAAAAUCGAUUUGUAUUUACAAAUUCAUUUUCACUAUUUGUGCCUAGGGUCGGUAUAAUACAAUAUGUGUUAUAGGGUUCGAAAUUCCGUUAAAUAAUAAAAAAAAAAAAAACCAAUUUUUAAAUAUCCAAGCAAUAACCUAAUCACUAACUUUUAUACGGCGUUUUUUUUUUUUAUUUUUUAAAAUAAGUAUUUCGUGGAAAAUUUGAAUGACCCUAACAAUAAUUCAUUAUAUAUUGCCUAUAUUGCCAUAUUCUGCGUUUUAGUAUUAGUUAUAGUUUGGUAGUUUUCGCUAAUAUAUUUAUGGCAAACAUGAUAUGCGAAAUAGGUACGUAUGGUCGUGCACAGUAUCGACUUGUCUACUCGCUAAUAUUCGAGAACCACCUGCAACCUUGUUAUUACACGAGCUGGAGACUCGGCGUCAUUUCACCGAGACGCAUGUUUUAUAAUAAUAAAAAAAAAAAAAAAUUUUAAAAAUACGUUUAACCGUGUAUAUUCUAUUUUCACCGGGCGAAACGGGCCGCGAACGAGUUGCGCCCCGUUGCGUUUUCGUCGAGUUACGCGAGUGACGCACAAGCACACAGAUCGACGAUAACGAUAGACGACGGUCGGACCGCCAAAAACGAAAUGAUAGUACCGGAAAAAUGUACCCGGUUCGACCGCGGAUAGCGAAAAUAUUUCAAUGCGUAACCUGUGGAUUUGAUCGUGCCGUCGCGUUAGGCGCUACAAGCACUUCGUGUAGGAAAAAAAAAAAAAAAAAGGGCAAAAAUUCAAAAUGAUAAUUACUUUGGAUCGUUGUAUAAGACAACAACGCGCGCGUUUACGGCCCGCGUUCGUUCCCUUCGCCUCCUCCUCCCGCCCGGUGUGCGCCGCCGCUCGCACUCGUACGCACUCGGACGCGGCCGACGGGGCACACGAAAACGCCGCGAAUCGUACGCGAUUAUCACGGGCGAUAAUAUUUGCGCGCGACACGGCACCGCGCCGGUUUUCAUUCAUCCGGUACCCACGGAACACGAUUCGCGGCGGUCGAACCGGCGCCCCGGCGAAUGUCCGAGACGCGUAAUACGAUAAUGAUAAUAUCGCGUGAUGAUAUUUUCGUAUUUCUCACCCCCCCCACUCACUCCUCUCCCCGUCCGCGGGACGUCGAUCGACCCCUUUUUUUUUUUUUUUUAUUUUUCUCCCGCGGCCAUCACCGCGGGCGCCCACACGCAUCGCACGCCGCGCGCCCGCGUAUAUUAUUAUUAUUAUUAUUAUUAUUAUUAUUAUACGUGUGUGUCGGACGUGUUGUGCCCGCCGCCGCCGCCGCCGCCACCGCCUGCACGGUGCGUGCGCGCGCCUACCGGCCGGCGGCGGGUGGGGCGGGCGGAGGCGAAGAUUCCGCCGCCGCCGCCGCCGUCAUCGUCGGCACGGCCGCGUGCGCGCGUGUGUGUAUAAUUGCGGGCAACAUGGCGCGGGUCUCGUCUUUUGAUGGAGGACCAAUGCAAGCGCGCACCGGGACGGCCCUACAAAUGACGCUCCUCCGCAUUAAAGCGCCGACGGGCACCCGCCGCCGCCGCCGCCGCCGCCGUACCGCUUAUCGUACUUUUACAUUCGGCAUUUCGCCCGCCGCCGCCGUCGUCCCUCGUUCAACCGCGCCGCCGCCGCGCCGGGCCCUAUAGCCUUUUUCUUUUCCGUAACCCUUCGCCCCUGCCCGAACCGCCGCCCGCGUCCUUUUUCCCCCUCACCGCGCCCGUCCAGCCAUAAUGUUUUAUGCAUACCUAAUGGACCUAAUACGCGCGCGCCGUGUACGGUUUCGAUAUUUUUACAAGAUCGUCGUAAACACCAUCCUGCGUUAUACGAGUGCACGAGCAUUAUUGUCAAGUACACACGAAAAUCCCGCAGACGGGUACGCAGAACAACAUUAUCGCGACGCGUAUCUUAACAGACGCACUCGUGUAUCGCGUUGUGUAUUUGUAGGGGGUUUUUAAUUUUUUUUUUUCGACUCGAGCCACGUACGUAUUAUUAUUUUUGUCACGGUUUUGUUUAUCAAAGCUGCUACGGAGGACGGACGGUUCGAAACCGCCGGUUACGUGCGCAGCGGCCCGUCGGUAUUUAACGAAAAUUGAACAUUGCAAAGUGUUAAAUUCAAACACUGAGCUAAACUGUUUACAGAUCCACCAGCGAUACGAUCACACCUGUGUUUCGCGAUGUCUUCCACAUUAUACAUUCGCACAUUAUUCUUCGUCCAACUUUUCUGCCAGAAAUCUCGCUCCAAUCGAAAAAUGACAAAAGCGCUUUUAAGUGUAGAGUUUCAAGUCUGGCCGCUGCGUUGAGAAUAUUAUUGCCCGAUUUUUCAAGUGAUUUCCUUUCAAUAAUUGGUAAAACCGGGAAAUUUUACGAAAAUAACGGUUCUAUCGUCACCUAUUAUAAAGAAAACUACAAACAAAUGGAAAAACUUUAAAAUCUGACAAGUGCGACCUACGUCGGUGUUCAAUUUCAUUUUUACGACGAUAAUAACAAUUUCUAAAAGUUUCAAAAAAUCCAUCAUUUCAAAAUCGACGUUUAAGUAUUUUAUUGCCAUAUACUUGGAAUGUAAACUGAUGUUUUAUAGCUCAAGGUUAUAUUUAAGCUUAAAAUAAUAGUGUAAAAUCUCCGAACGUUCUAAUACGGUUAUUGUUGUAACUCCAUGAUGGUGUUAAAACACUGUUGACAAUAAAUAUCCGUUCAAACCGUUCUGCAUAGCAUUUUCGAUUAGUGUUGCGUGAGUUUAAAUUUAAGUUUACGGGCACAUUUUCAACGAGCUAUAUCUUAGCAAACUGAAUGUUACAAAUCGUAUAUUAUUUUAAUUUCAAUUGGAAAAAAUCCCGGGUAUCGCUCGUGUAAAACCAAAGCGAUAUUGUCGGUUUCGACAAAAAGCCAUUGAAUUAGCGGGACAGUCGAGACGCAACGUAAAGAAGACGGUGGCGUGGAAUUUGACCUUUCUAGAUUCCUGAAAUUCGAACGAUUGUCGAUUAGAACUCGGAGGCGAUCAAUGUAAAUCGAAGCAGCGAAAAACCAGACGGCCGGGCGUCUCUAAACCGCACGUACCGGAAGUGAUAACCGGGAAAGUGAUGGCUGACAAAUUACGUUCAACAAUAAAAACCUUCGAGAAAUUAGCGUCGAGCUAACAAGUUGGAAUCGAAAUUUCCGCCGCUCUAGCGGAUUAUAUGACCGUUAUACGGACGGUUGUGUAUGUCAAUACGUUCGCGAGAAAUGUAAAGUUUUCAAAAUGACAGUUUCGUAUUCCGGUGACAAACGGAAAUUGAUAAUCGAUUGUGCGGACGAAAACCAUAGACGCAAUAUACAGUGAAACAACUAAACCAACCAACUGCAACAGUAUAGGUGACCGAGUGAAAAAAAAAAAAAAAUCACUUAUGUAAUAAAUCCAACUAAUUUCGUAUAGUAAUUAUAUUAAUGAUCUUAUUGUAAUUUUCGUUUUAGAUUCGAAACAUAGCGAGGAAUCUAUUGGGUUUACUUUGAAUGUUUUAAUUAUAAUUAAUAUGCGUUAAAAAAAAAAAAACAAUGUUCUUUUUUCUUUCUUAACCAAUGUAUUUUUUAAUGAUAUUGAAUAUAAAACUCAAUAUUAUUUAACGUAGUUAUUUAUUAUUGUUAUUUCUUAUCGUCUCAGUCUACUAUUAAUUUAACGGCAACGGUACGAUUCACAUUUAGGUAAUCUUUAUCUUUUGUGUUCAUAUCAAUAAUGAUAAUUGUAUAUUUUUUAGUAAUAAACUUUGAAUAAUUUUUUGUAUAAUUAACAUUUUUUCGUAUAUAUUUUGCAAUUUUUUUCGUGCAUAUAUUGCUUUUUUUACUUACUAUAACUUCCGAGCUUUGUUAAUAAUAAUAAUAAUAAUAAUAAUACAGGUAUGAUAUAACCCGCUCUUUCUGUAUUUAUGGUUCACGUUUGCGUUUCGUGAGUAUAGGUACAUAUUUGAAGGUGGUGACAGGGGUGCGUCACAUCUUAGAGCGCCACACGUGGAAAAUAGUUCGUCCGAAUUAUUGUAACGAAAUUGUAGGAAUAUAAAUAUAUUAUUUUUUUCAUACGAACAAAGAAUGUAUAAUAUAAAAGUUUUACAAUUUUCACAUACGUAUAUAUUAUGUACAGGUAUAUUGUGCGAGGCGACUGCUCGUCUUGCGAAUGCGAGCCGUUGGAUAAUUUAAAAGAAAAAAAAAAAAGCCGGAAACAUUUUAUACAUGUAUACAUCCGCCUUUUAGUCAUUGACAAACACGCCGAACCGACUAUAUUGUUACGCGUACAUAUCUGUUGUAGCUAUACUUAUAAAAUAUGCAUGCAUAUAUGUAUAAUUUAAUAUACUUAAUAUUUCGAUAUUGACUUGGCAUGAAAACGUAUAUUAGCGAUUUCGUAACUCGGUGUAUACGGAUCGUAAACUUAUAAAUAUAUUAUUAUGUAUAGCUAACGAAUUUUGAAUACAUACAUUUAAUAUACAGCUGUAUGCUAAAAUAGUAUAUUAUAUAGUUUGGUUAAAAUUAAAAAAAAUCAAUGAGUGCUACAUAUAUAAUAUAAAUUUAUGUUAUAUGAGUAGGUAAUACACACGCUAUGGCGACCGCGGAUAAAAAUUCAGAGAGGUCCUGUGGCGUGUCGACAAUGUUUUUGAGGACCCACGGUUCCCCCACCGAAAUUUAAGUGGGCGGGCUGGUAAAAUAAGACGGAUAUAUCUUUUAAUAGUGUAAUAAUGUUUGAAAACAUAAAAAAAAAAAAACAAAAUACGCAUUUCAAAAAGUAUAAAUAAUAAUAUGUAUAAUGCGCAAAACAAAAAGCGUAUAUUCAAUAACUGCCUUUUUCUUUCUCGAAUAGAAUCGUUUUUAAUUAUAAUACAAUAUGUGACCCCGUCAUAUUGAUUUUGUAUAGUAUACUCAGUAUAUUUACUUGAUUUUGGCGGAGGGAGAUUGGUUAUGUUUUUCGAGGGGAGCCGUGCAUUUCCCGAGCCCCCUAUUUUCGCCCACGAAUUACCUAUAGUAUAUUAACUAUAAUACCAUAUAUAAUAUACAUAUGCAAGCAUUAUGUCCGUACGGUGCAUCCAGACUGCAUUUAUGUAUUUUUAUUCUUUUUUUAUUGUUUUUUUUUUUUUUUUUACGAAGUGCGCGCGUGUAUGCAGACUAUUCGUUUAUAUAUGCGAUAAACAAGUAUACAAUAUAAUAAUAAUAACAAUCGUAAAAAAUACUUACGUAAACUGCUUGCGGUAAGAAGAACUGCACAUAAUAAUAUACAAACAUUAGGAACGGAUCGUUUACUUUGAAGAGUUUAACGAUUCAAACGAUAGUAUAACUCUUUAUAUUAUACGGUUAGGACAUUAUGACGGGUUCCCAGAUUAUACAUAAAAUACAUAUAUACAAAACGUUUAGUAAAUUCGAAAUGUAUUAUAUCAAUAUCGUAAAAUGGAAGUUUAAAUACAGUCGUAUUAUAAAUUAUUUUCAAUAACGACGUGCAGUUUAUUUGAUUUUUCUAAUCCGAUUUGGAAAUUAAGUUGAACAUUGUUUGUUUAGAAGUAAAAAUGUUCCGAAACGCAAUAAAAAAAAAAAAAUAAUAAUAAAAUAAAAAAUAACAUUCAAAUACCUAAAAACAUAUAUAAACCGCCACAAUAAAUGUAUAAUAAAACAAAAAUUCACUUUAUAUCGCGAUGUAUUAAUCGCGAUUCGACAGUUUUGAAUAUUUAUUUGUAUACGAUUUUGUUGACUUAAUAUUUCGAUUUGUAUAACAACACUAAAAUUGGAUUUAUAAGUUAUCCAAACUCAUAAUAGUCUGCAUAUUAUUACCUAUCAACGGUUUUUUUAACUAUUAUUUUUUUGAAUCAAUGUUAAAAAGGGUGGGAGGCCGCCGUUUGAAAAUCGAAAGUGAAUACUUAUUUAAGGAUAAACUGUUGGGUUAGGAUAGAAGGAGGAGUAAAAAUAUUGUUGUGAAUAGUGUUCCAAUAAAGUUUAGGUAAACCGGAAUUCCACCACAAUAAAUACUGAAAUCAAAUUUACAGUUAUCUACUUGAAAUCUUCAAGGAAAAUCGUCGGAUCAAGAUAACACAAUAAGUCAACCUGACUAUUAUAAUUUCAACGUGACAUUUUUCUAAUAACAUUUACAAUAAAAAUCGAUUUGGUUAGUUGCAAAAUCGUAUUUUAUCUUUGCUUUAAAUUUUAAACCGUGUAAUUUAUGUCGAAAAAUUUUAUAAUAAUUUGACACAUUAUAAUUGUUAAGACGUUUUAAAUGCGUAGUGUGUAGGACGGCGAAAACUCUGAGUGAGAAUACGAGUAUGAUGCAAUUAAUAUUGUGAUAAACUACGGUUUUUUGUCUAUCAUGCAUUAAAAUCUUUGUUAUUACCUACUAAAUUACAUUUAUGUCUGCAUCUUAUAAUAUCUAUACUGCAACGACGGUGGCGACGACGGUGCAUCUACUUGCGAAAACACCCUCGUUAUCUUUCCGAACAAUAAAAUUUCGAUUAUCUCUGUUCGGGGAACGGUAUAUAUAUAUAUACACGUAUAGUGGACGAAUGGAUCGAGGAUACGAAAAAAAAAAAAAGUAAAAAAAAAAAACUACAUUUGAAAAGAUAUACACUAACUACACCGCCGCGCCCUCUUGUCGUAUAGAGCGGAGAAAAUUACCACCAUAAUUUUCCCGGUCAGGCGAAAUACGCGGCGGAGAAGAAGAGCGAAAAAAAAAAAUAAAAAUCUAAUUUAAAAAUCUCAUUAACUUCCCCGGUCUCCUUAUUCAUUUUACACGAGUUUGUUCGUGGGCGAGUGGAAGAAUCCACUCGUUUCUCGACCCGGGCCGCUUGUUUUUUUUUUUUUUUUUUUAAUGAAUAUUAAAGUUGUACGGGAUGACGAAAAAUUAAGAACUCUCGAGCGACUUUAGUUUUAUAGUCGAGUGGCGGUAACCGCAUCCAAAUAAUAAUAAUAAAAGUUGGAAGUUUUUUUUUUUUUUUCCGUGCUCCGCGCACGGGCGACGGUUAUUAAUUUUGAGUCAUUAAUUUCGUUCGGAAUAAUAAUCGUAAAAUAAAAAAAAAAAGAAGAAAAGAAAAGUUUCGAGUAGCGAAAAAAAAUCAUAAAUUUUUACUCGUCGACGGCGGCGGAACGGGCGCCGAGGGAGGGGGAAGUAGUUCUCAAAAGUCGAGAAGCGUAACGAUAUUCGUCUUAAUUAAUGUUGGUGUAUACUUUUUAACGAGCAGGUAAUCAAUCAACGUUCCGUUUUUAUAAUAUAUAUUCUUUAUUUUUUUCGCUUUCCCUCCUUCGGAAAAUGUAUUGUAUAUAUAUAUAUCUAAUAUAUACGGGAUAACUUUUGCGAGAACCGUUUUCCGAAACAACCCGAUGACAAAUUACUGCCAAUUAAACAGCCGUGGGCGGACAUUUUUCAUUUUGUCUCGGCACACGUUAAUGAGAUUGCCGUCCCCGCGCGUAAUUGCGAACAACAAACACGAUUUUUCAAACACAGACGUUCAAAAGAAUAAUUGCAAAAAAAAAAAAUAAUAAGAAAAAAGAACAUUUGACAACGAUGUUCAUAAUAUACAAUACGCUCGUACCUAACAUAUUUUAACGGCCGCCCGCGCGUAAGCGUUGAAAAGCCAGUUUUCACGUUUUUCUACUUUGUACACUUGUAUCGACAAAAGUCGCACUUAUAUUAUAAACUCGAUUUUUGCAACUUUAUGGGUAUUAUUAGGUAUUAUAUGGUAAGGUUGUAAUUAGGGUGCGGAUUUAAAUACCCUAAAAUAACAAGACUAAUGUUUUAAAAAAAUACAAUUUAAUGCAAUGAAAUUAGAAAAAAGAUUAAAAAUUAUUUUAAACGUUGAAAAAAAUAUUUUCUAUUAGGUAUAAAAAUACAACAGUGCAAAUAGUGCAUACGACUACAUGGCAAUUCGAUAACUAACUUAUCGUUUUUUUUUUUUUUUUAUAGCAGCUGGCAUCGUAUUUAUAUUAUCGUAUUAAUCGGUAAAUCUAUACCUAGUACAUUUUAAAAAUAGAAAUAUAAUUUUUUUUCUUUUAGGAGGAAACCAAAAUAAAUUUUAUCAAAUUUUCUUAUAACACUAUGAAGUUUGUAAAAAGAAGAAAAAAAAUGCCUUAAAACCUAAAAAUGCACUUAAAAUGUAAAAAAAAAAUGCUUUAAAAAUAAAAAAAGUUCUAAAAAUGCAGAAUAAAAGUUUCAUAUUUUAAUUCUUUGAUAUAUGAAAUUAAUUUUGUGUUUUGGAAAGCAUUGUUUUAGGACAUUUAGAAAAAUAAUGCAAUUUACAUUAUAAUCCGCACCCAAUAGUUAUAAUAAUUACAAAUUAUAUACGAUACUCCAAUAUACAACUGAACGCAUUGAACAAUAAUUAUUGACGUUAUGAUGCCAAUUAUUUCAGGUAUCACGUGCCUAAUCAAAAUUUAUAUAUUGUGACAUUUCUAGGAUUUUGUGUAAAAAUAAUUUUCAUAUCGUAAUUUUCUUUAAGUUUUAAGUAAAUAGCUUAUAGAGAACAAAACAGUAGCUAACCAAAUUAGAUAAUAUCCCGCAUUUUUUUAUGUUUGAAACUCAAUUCUUAUAAAAUUAUUAUAAUUUGCUUUGUAUGUUAUUACAAUUAUAAAUAUAAAAUAUGCAUGCAUAUGCGCAUCAUAUAAAUACUCCUAUAUUUACCUUUUCCUAAGUUCUUCCAUUAUUUGAACCAUUAAUAAAUAUGGAUAAUAUUUAAAGAUGGGUAAUAUAAUAUGCGUAUAAUACAUAUUAAUACCGAUAAAUUACGUUUAUAAUCAGUAAUAAUCACUGACCAAUAGAACAAUAGUAACCAAUAGUAACAUUCUACUCUCUUGUUAUCCAGUCUCUCUAGGUUAAAUUGUAGGAUACGAUGGGUUUUUUUUUUCACAAACGUCUAAAUUUAAUCGUAUCAUAAAGUUUUAUAUAGUGAAGUGUCCAGACAUUUUCUAUGCGAUUUUAUAUAUAUAUAAGAUAAAUAGUUUGUAGUAGUUUGUACGAAUACAUUUUAAAGAAUCUUCUUUUAUAUAAUAUGUAUACUUCACCCGAAAAUGGAAAUUUAAAAGUCACAGAUCCAAUACAAGACCAAUUUUUAUUCAAUAAAUCGAGUUUUUACUAAUGUGAUAAAUGAAUCACAAAGGGGAAAAGUGGAGUAUGAAAUGAUUGAAUACUGAACCCCACUAAUCACUUAAAUUACUAAUUACCUUCUACAAUAGUAGGAAAAAUAUGAUGUGUAAUAUUUAUAAUAAGUAAUGAGGUUUUUACCUGUCCUGCGCAGAAUUUCUUCAGUAGCGGUGUUCACGUAGAACACGAGUAGAUAUAUUUACGAUUGUUGAUAAUAAUGACGUGUAGAAGGGAAGUGUAAGAAUUAACACUGAACAUCAUUGAGCAAUUAUUUUGAUUUUUUUGACGAGGAGCAAGACCUACUCGAGAAGACGUAACGCGUAUUAUGGAAACGAGAAAAGGCUCUCAGACCAAGGAGUUGGUGCAGGAAGUACAUACGGGGAAGAGAGAUAGUGGGAGUGUGUGUGCAUUGUCAUCCGGUCAGUCAAUAUUAUACAUUUGAUAAUGCAUAUAAUUAAUUAUUACGUCAUGCUAAAUUUAAAUGUUAUUUGUUUAAACAUUUACUAACAAUUUAAAUCUAAUUGACAUUUAAUACAAUACACUGCGGACAAUAACACGGUACGAUAUGACAAAAUGUAAUAUACCUAGAUGAGUAAUAUUAAAAUGUACGAUAUAAUAUGUACGAUAUCGUGUACUACAUCGUAUUAUUCCACCUAUGGCUGACGCAUACAAGUAAAUCUCAAGAUUAAAUUACACUAAAUCAAUACUCAUGUAUGUAUGUAGCAAAUUGUUUUAUUUUUAAUCUAUUGAUGGUAAUGAUGAUGAUGAGGAGAGGGGGGUUGGUGAAAUUACCUCCAUAAUCUCUACUGCGCCCGUCAUACGACCUUAUUUUUUUAAAAAUAAAAACGUUAUGCCGCCAACCGAAUAUUAUGAGAUAUAACUAUGCGAAAAACGUAUAAAAUAUCAGUGUGUAUAUUCGCAUAUAUAUUUUAUCCGCAGCGGUAUUCCAAAUGAAUAACUACGGUAACACGCGCGCGGAUAAAUGAUAAAACUCCACGAAGCGAUAUGCACUGCGAUCAUGCAUAAAACGACGUAAUAUCAUAUUUAAAUUGCAUGCGUGUUAAGAAUAUAUUACAUUUAACUUUGCGUAAUUUUUCAAAUUAUAUAUUUUAUAGCCAUCGUAUAAAUUAAAAUAGUUUUUAUAAUAAAAUAUUAUAAAACGACGACUAUACGAUAGUAUUCGUUUAUCAAUAUUAUUAACGUUCGUUUUAUUAUAUUAUGUCUUGCUGUUGAAAUGGGAAAACUAUAAUGUAUAGAACAGAUAAUUUUCUAUAUUUUAUAUUACGUUUGUCCUGGAUUAAAAAACGGAAGUACACAAACGUCAUAAACGAAUAAAACACUUUAUACACGGUAGUAUUAAAAACUAAUACGUACCCGAGAAAUCUUCGAAUAUUAUUAUUUUUUUUUUUCAAUUUUUCGUUAUACGAGUAUGUAUUAAAGUAUUGAUGUAAAAUACUUCGAUAAAUUUGGUAAUAAUUAAUAUUUUAAAUUCGAUAUAGCUUUAUACGCAUACUACAUAUGUUAGAGAACCUAUAUAUAUAUAUAUAAAAAAAAAAAUAAAUAAUACAAUUUAAUCGCAACAAGAAGAAAAAAACAACCGUGAGCAGCACAGCUCCGUCACGAGAGUAGUAUUUCCAUCUCACCUAUUUUUCGAAUUAUAGAAAUAUUCUUGGUAAAACAAUAAAUAAACGGUUACUAAAAUAAUACAAAAAAAAAAAAUACUAAAACUGUACUUUCACGAAAAAAAUUAAAGAUAAAAUUCGAGCUUGAAAAUCGUUGAAUUGAGAGGGACUUGAAAGUUGAAACACUCAAAAGGCACAAUUAAUGUCAUGCAUGAUAAUGUACAACAUUUCGUCACCUUGAUUUGUGUUAUUUAAAAUUUAUGAUUUUUAAAAAAUUUCAACUGAAAUAUUAAUUAUAAUUACGAUUUGUUCGGGGAACGUACGGAACGUUUUGCAUAUCCUAUACACAUCGAUACGAUUCGAUGAAGUCCGCUCGCGAGCAAUCCGUUAUUUUCUUGUAAAAAUAUACGCGAGUAUAUGCAAGGGGUGGUAAAUAAUUAACCGGGAGAAGAUGCGACCGCCCCUCCACUUUUCCCGUUUCACUCCCACCGGCGGGCGAACAAAUAAUAAGCCGCUGGCACGCCGUAUACGUACAUAGGAGUACGUAUGCACAGUAAUAAUACGUAUAGGUAUACCGAAAUGGGUUUUUUUUUUUUUUUUUUUUUGGCUCGGCGAAUAUUUCAUCUUAUUCUUACCGUUUUUUCCUCUCUCCGCGCGCUCUCAUCACCACGCACUCGUAUAUAUUAUUAUCGCGCGCACAUAUAUAUAUAUAUAUGUACAAUAUAUAUAUAUAUAUGUAUGCUCACGAGAGCGCGCGUCGGCGCACGCACAUACAUACGCAUACACACACACACACACACACACACGCACACAUACAUAAUUGUAUAUACGAGUAUACAAUACCGUCACACCGCCUCCGCCCCCGCCGCCGCCAUGCCGCGCGUCACCGUGCAGCCGCCGUCGCCGCCGCCGUCGCCGCCGUGUCCCGCGCGCGCCGUCGUACGGCGAAUAUAUUCUGGUCGCGCGGUCGUGUGUGCGUGCGCGCCGCGACUCGUACGGUGAAUUUUAUACAUACGCGCGGCGCGCACACACGCACACGCGGUCCGCGCCCGGCCGAAGGGAUGGCAUCUGCGCGCGGCGCGGCGCGAGAAAGUAGCCUCGUUAAGAUUACAUAUGGAAAACAGGAGGGCGACCCGACCGGCGGCGGCGGCGAAGGCCGAAGGGGUAGCGCGGGGGGUCGGGGCGGCUCUCUCGCACUCUCUCCCGUCGCUCGCCGUCCGCCGACCGAGCGCACGCGCGAUAUUCGCGGCGGCGGAAAGGGUCCCCGGCCGCCGCCGGAUCCCUUCGCAUUUCGCAUUGGCGCAAAAGGGAGUUAAAAUAAAAAAAAAAAAAAAAAAGAAAAGAAAAAAAACCUCCGACCGAGUGUAUACGUACGUACGUACGCGGUGUAUGUGUGUACGCGUAUUAUUAUACGCGCGCAUGUAUACGGACCGCGCGUCCGUGUGAGUCGUGUUCGCGCUCGCGUGCGCGCGUGUGUGCGCCGCGCUUCUUUCACUUUCUGUUGCUGUGCAGACAAAACCAAAUUCCGUUAUUGAUUAAUAUCCGCCACCGCCGCCGCCGUAUCCCCCGACCGCCCCGCCGCCGCUCAUCGCCGCCCACCCGACAAACUUUACCCCAUACCGCCGGGUCUUUACGUAUACAUAUAUUUAUGUACGGCGACGAGUGAGCGUCACACGAGUGCGCACGUUUUUUUUAAUGCCGUUCUACACUCGGCGGCGGCGGUACCGGCCCUGAGACCCUUUGGGCCUCCGCCGCCGCCGCCACCGCCACCGCCGCUGACGACGACGACGACGACGACGACGACGAGGAGAACGCGAAAGAAAAGGAAUAAAACAAAAUGUCUUCCGACCCCUCCGCCUAACCGCCACGCCGUCCAUCGUCCCCCUGCGUUUUCCCACUCUCGGAGCGCGUUUGAAUUCGUCUUUGCAUAUAUUAUUAUUAUUAUACGCAUACGUAAUAUUAUACACGGCGACCUCGUCCGCACGCGCGUACCCGUACGGUUUUACGGGCGUAAUAAUACGACGCCUUUGGAUUUCAGACGUUAUUAUAAUUCGCCGGAUAGAUGGCGCGGUCGUCCGCCUAUUAAAUAACACGCUGUCAUUAUACCGAACGGAUUUGUAGGCGCUCAUUAAAAUCCGGCACAAACGAGCGUUCAAAACCGCAAAUAAAUGAAAAAACAAAAAAAUAGUAUUUAGACGUAAUUACAAUUGGAAUUCGUUUUUUAAAUAAAAUUGCACGUAUUAUCAAAAAGAAAUUAACUACUUUGUAUCAAUUAUUUUCGUACUGUUUAACCGUUUUAUUUAGGAAGUUAGAGCUGUUUAGAUGGGUGACUUUUAAAUCACUCUACCGUUUUUGUAUUUUCUAACAAGUGCUUUUUCGGGGAUUUUUUCGACGUUAACAAGCGGUUUUUUGUGGAUUUUAAGUGCAUAUUAAUCCGUUCUCUAGCUAUUGUUAGUAUUUGGUUUUUCGGUUUUAUCGUUUCACACGGGUUUCAUCACCACUGCAAAAAAACUGCGAUAAUAUAAUAAAUUAUAACGAUUAUGUUGCAGAUGAUGUUUAUUGCCUAAAACAAUAGUCUUCGUCCGCAAUCACCCCCGACCUCCUCAACCCGCGUGAUAAUUACUCGUCGUGAGUUGCGGCCCUUUGAAAUUAUUAACACGGAAGAAAAAAAAUCCGCUUACAAAGGGAACGGUUAUGAAACAAAAGUUAAUAUAGUUUUUAAUACAAAUGUUUUAUACUUUGAGUGCUUUAGUGUAUAAUAUUGAAAAUGUAUAUUUUUUUAUUCGAAUGCGAUAUAAAUAUAUUAGUACAUAUUUUUUAAUAAAUGGCUUUACGUCUUUAUUUUUCGGCAAACUUAAAAGAAAAAAAUAUAUUUAAUACUGCUCUUUAAGGUAUUAAUGUAUACCUUGCGGGUCGUUUUAUUUCCUAUUAAAAAAUACAUUUAAAAUAUUUAUGCCUUUCAUUUAAAAAUAAUUUCCCUGCUGUAUUAAAUUACGUAUAUUGCAUAAUAUGGACUCUCCAUAUAAUUUGAAAUUUUUCUCUCUUCUUUUAUGAUGUUUAAUGUAAAUAAGCAAGAAAAUACUCGGAGUAAAAAGAUUACACUAAAAUCACCGAAAAAGAAAUUAGUUAAUAAAUUAUAUUGUCAUAAAAAAAAAAGAAGAAGAAGACACAUUCGUGGUUUUAUAUAUUCGUAUACGCAUUUUUUUUUUUUAUUAAAAUUAAUUUCGAACGUUUCCACUGCUGCAGAGAGUUCUUUUGUAUUCGAAAUUUAAUUAAACUUGACGUUUGGAAUAUAUAAUAUAUUUUCAACAUUCAUCAUCAGAUGAUAUACGCGCGCUACAGUCGUUAAUCAAACACACGCUUAAAAAUGUGCAUGUAUCCCUCCGAAUGAUUAAUGUUGACAAUUUGAUAUGUAUGUUAGAAAUGCCGAGAAUAAUGCACUUUUACGGAAGAAGACCCGCCGAAAGAUAUACCAUUGAACAACGUGAUGGCCAUCUUUUUAUCUUAAUGGGUUUUAUAAUUUUUCGUAAUUGUCGUUUUGUGAUAAUCAUCGUAGAUCGAUAACUUUAAUGUUUGUUGCCGUUUUAUGCAGUAUAGUAGAUGUCAGUUAAAUAUAAAUUUUUGGAAACAUGAAGUUAAAAAUUAAAUCUUAAAAUAAGUCUUAUUUAGAAAUUUAUUUAUUUCCGCGUCGUCGUAUAGAUUAUUUUUCGUAAUAAUUGAGCUGGAAAUCUAAAAACCGUACGGGAUAUCGGUCACUGGGUUGAGUAUAUAUAAAAAAAUAAAAAUAAAAAAAAAGAGACGGCAAAGGCCCGACUAUAUAUAUUGAACAUCUAUCGUAGUAAACGACAGGAAGUUCAGGGUCAAGAGCCAAAAGGUAUAUAGCCUUCAAAACAAAAAUAAAAGUCUCAAGUUUUCGACGCAAGUAAGACCAAAAAGUUAUAUAUUAUAUAUAAGUGAUCUAUAGUCCCGUUUAUGAAUAAAUGAAAAUGUGUAGUUUACUUGAUAAUCGUAUUGACAUUAGUUACGAUGAUACCUGCGUAUUUAAAAAAAUUAAUUGCGUGCCUUUUAAAUAUACAUUCAGUAAACACACACGAAAAAAAAAUUGAUACUGCUGAUGAGUUUGCUACUGUUGUAGGUGGAAAGUUGGGAAAGUAGGGUACAUACAUUUAUUUAAUUUAUAUCUAUACGCAACGAUAAAAUAUUGCUAACGAAACACGAUUCUGAGCGAAGUUCGGUAACGCAAUAUUUUAUUAAAAAAAAAAAAACUGACCGAUCGACUUUUUUUUAAUUUUGUUUUUCUUGGUUUUAAACAAUUAUCGUGGGCUUUCAUACGUACCAACUAAAUAAAAAUAACUUUCAGAAAAUAUUCUACUCUCAUAAAAUUCUGAGCAAAAUUUUUCGAUAGAAAAACAAUAUUGACAAAAAGGGAAAAUAAUGAAACUUUUACUGCCGUAAACUUAUCUGUUUCUCCUCUAUGAUUUUUAUGUAGUAAAAUGAGAACUAUCAGAAAAAUAAUCCAAAAUACUACAAAAAAAAGGUAUUUUGUCAUAUUUUGAUUGGAAUAAGAUUUUUGGUCGAAAAGUCGUUUAUACAAACACGAAAAAUAAAGCACACAUAACAAAACCAAAACAUUUCUCGUUGAGUUCAGAAUCUAAAAUAAAUAACUCCGUCAAAUAUAUUAUACCUAAACCUUAAAACAGUUCUAAAUUAAUAUAUGUUUUUAUAUUUGACUGUUUUGAAAUAUAAAACACUUAAAAACGGACUUCUUGCGCCAUAUUCAAAGUAGGUAAUACGUGUUGUCAAAUAUACAUUCAAUAAUGGCUAUAAAUAUUGUUUUUUUAUUGAACUUCGGCCAUUAUGGUAACAUAAUAUUCGAUUAAAAACUAAAUAGGCACUCUGUGAAUCCUAUAUAGGUAUAAUAAUAUAUAUAUAUAGGUCUAAUUUCUAAUGUUUUACACCAGGGGUGUCCAACCCGCGGCCCUCACUUCAAUUUAAAAACUAUGAAUUAAUUAUAUAUAAUAUAUUAAUAUUACGAGAACAAAUUUAUUUUAAAAAUAUAAACCAUCAAAUAACGUCUGUGUAUUUACCGUUGCGACAUCUUAUCUUAUAUUACAUACGGACGUGUGCAUCGGACCUAAAGGUAAACAUUAUUAGUGUUUUAUCUUUAUUGGCUCCGACACCAAUAUUCUGUGUCAUUUAUCAAAAAAUAAAAAUAAAAUACCUAAUAAUUUGAUUUGUAUAAUAAACUAAUAAUCAAAUAGCGAAAUGUCGUCCAAUAAGAAAAGAAAAGUAACGGACGAAGGAAGGAUAUUCAACGAAAUGUGGACAGCGGAAUACUUUUUUAUAGAAAUGAAAAAUGGGGCAUNAAUUUUAGAGUUAAAAACAUGUCUUUCUUCUCAGCAACUCAAUAUUAAAAAAGCUACUUCUGAGUCCCUAACCGUUACAAAAACUUUUUUUUAUUAUAAAUAAAUUUAUUUUUCUGUGUACUUAUAAUUAAAUUAUUAAAUAUCAAUACUUGUAAAAAUAUUUCUGCUUAUUAUUCGCUAAUGUAAAAUUAUAAAAAAAAAUGUAUUGUUGUAGUAUAGAUUAUAAUUUAAUCAUUAAAUUAGAAUGUAUUAUUAUUUAAAAAAGUAUGUGGCCCACAACAACUUUUACCUACAUGAUGUGGCCCAGUAUUCACAAAAGGUUGGACACCCCUGUUUUACACGGUAACGUUACGUUGUUUGAACAAACCAGUUACUAUUAGGGAAGUUAGCUUUUAUGGGAUUUUCUGAUAGUUUCGGUUUAAUAAUGUGCAUAUUUGAAGCUCGACAGUGAUGUUGAAUCUAUCCGAAUCGGUCUUGAUUAAACUUUUAAUAUCAGAGUGGUGUAUCGCUUCAUAAUUAAAUGUAUAGAUAAGAGUAUUAUUUGUAUUGGCUCGUUGAUUUUUUUUCUAAUAUUUUAAUUUUUAAGCGAAAUAUUAGCAUUUUUAAAUUGUCAUACAUUUUGCAUAAAAAUUAACGUACAAACACAGAAAAUGUUCUUUCUUUUAAGUUUGAUAAUAAGUACUAUGCUAUUAAAACUAAUAACACAAAAUUGGUUUUAUUAUGUUGUUGUGCGUUUACAAAACGAAGGUACAAACAAAUGCACUUAUAUAGCGUCCGCUUAAUAGUUUUAGAUGUUUUGCUCCCCCUCCCCCCUUAGGAUUGACAUACUGCGGAGGUUGUUCUGUUGUCAUCAGAAAUUCUGAUUUGAGAUGGUGAGAUUCUGGGUGUGUAUUAUGCGAAAACGGAUAAGUAGAUAAUAUGGAUAAUACUAUAAUAGUGUUUAAUUGAACCGAAUAAUUUGAUAGUUUCCUAAAAGUGAUAACGCCAUCCAUGCAAUUGUAAUAGUGACAUUAAUGAAAUAAUAGAAUCAAUCCUACUAUAAUUAUUGUACACACGUUACAGUGGUUGAUAAAAAGGGGAAUAAUUAGAUUAUUCCCCUCUCCCACAAGUACGCUAUAAUACAAAUAUAUUAGUCAUAUGACUAAAUUUGCUAUUGGAUAAAUUUGAAUUGUCCCCACCCUUUUUUCUUUCAACCUUUGAUCCGCCCCUGCAUAUGUAAAAGUAUUGCGUGGGUAUGUCUGUGUAUAAUAUGAACGGUGUAAUUUUCUUUUAUUGUGUUUUAUGAAAUCGUAAACUAUGUAUAAUAAAAUGGCCACGGUAUCUGUAUCCAUAUGUAUACGGUAUAGGUAUACCUACCUAUAAUUCUUCGUAUUAUUAUUAUUUUUUUAAACGUUUGAUCAAUUGUUUACGUUAAUAAUAACUACUCGUACCCAUAUAUUAUGAAACGUGUGCAGCACCAUGCAAAUGUUGCAGUGUAAUAAAUGCAGCAAUAACAUAAUAAUAAUAUAUCCGUUUACGUGUUAUAUUGGAGUUAAAAUCGAGCCAUGUUCUUGCAGUUAUUCAUUUUUUUUUUUUUUUAUUACUUUUAUCCCAAAUCGAGUUUAUUUACAGGCCAUUAUUUUAGUAUAAAUCCACGGUGAAAAAAAACCUACGAAUAAUAAUACGUACAAUGUUAUAGUAUUGAGUAUACAAGUGCUCUGAAUUGUAUUCAUACACGAUUAAGUUUACAUAAUACCUAGUAGUAUAUGGAAAUCGAUCGAAUAAAAUUUAGAACGGGAACAAUUUAAAGACUCAGAAAUUAGAUACACUUCGGAUAUGGGACCUACCUUGUGUUACAUUUGCGAACUAAACCGCCCCAAUUUUACGCCUAAUGUAACUCAAUUUAGUCCUAAAAAUAAACUAUAAUUGAGUCGGAAAAAGUUUUUAAAAAUAAUCGAUACCUAUAACUAUAAUUUAACGCAUACGGUAUAUGGUUGAAAACAUCGUUUAUUUUUACUGCGAAUAUAAGUUUGUUUUAUAUAAAAGUCUUAAAUUUUCUUCUUUAGUUUUUCGCUUUGAAUAGAUUUUUUUUAACGGAUAAUUUCAUGCGCAGUGUUCAGCGCGUUAAAAUAAUGAACAUCCCGAUUUAACUAUAAUAUCUUUGGUCUCAGGGAAAUAACGAUUUGGUCAAUUUUGUAUAACAUUCAAUGCAAGCAAAUUUAAUUUUAAUGAUAUUUUUAAACAAACUAAACUUAAAAAUAAACAAUAAAUUUAUAAUUUAUGUUUUUUUUUUUUACCAAUAAAAAGUACUUUAUAGUGACUUAAGAUAUUAUAUUUUAAUUAACAUUACAGGCAUAGCGUGUGUUAGAAUAAAUAUAUAGCCUUAUGUCAUUUUGAUCAAUAAGCAAAGAAUAAAACAAAAAAAAAUUACAUAAUACAAAAUUGUGUACAAAAAUUACCGAUUAUGGACUUAAGCAUUGUUCUUAAAUAAACUAGUUGCUGUUUUAUCGGAUUCCGCAAUUAUUAUGCGGUUCGUAUUGUCGGACUGUAUUCGGUCUAUAGGAUUGAAUAUCGUUGUACAACACUGCGAUCGGAUAUUCUUUGACAGACAUUUUAAACACGCAUAUACAAUUUAUUGUAAACCAGACAUUACAUAUUAUGUUAUAGAGAACGCGUAUCUUGCAUUAUAACCGUAUAUACUGCAAUAGAGUUACACUUACGAGUAUACACAUUAUAAUAUGUACCGGAUUUCUUCAGCUCGGUCGAAAAAAUAAAAAAUUGACUAGGUAAAUAUAUAUAUAUAUAUAUAUAUAUAUUAGAUGCAAACGUCGAGUGUUUCUCACGGUUCGACAUAAAAACGCCUAAAAGUAUAAACGUGUAUUUUUCAGUCAUGGUCACGGUCGAAUCGACGGUUUCGAAAGCACCCGAUAUAAUAGUAUACGAGUAUAAGUAUGGUACAUAAUUUUAACAGUUUUUCUCCGAAAAUACGUUGUCUUCAAAUUCGAUAAUAUUAAGUAUUUAUACACAUUAUGUUUAUACAUAGAGAGCCUAAUAAUAAUAUGCAUUCUUUGUUAUCUAGGCUAGCUAUAUUUAUUCCGUUGAAUUUGAAUAUCGCUGAUGGUCAUAUAUCAAUGAUGAUACAUCGCCCCCCUUCUGUGUUGAAAAUCAGAGGAAAAACUCACUUGUGCGCUUAAAAACGUAUCUCAUUAUUACAAAAAUAUGUUAACAAUUAUUUAUCGUAUUAUUAUUACCUACCUACCUACCUACCUACCGGCGGUGGUGGUGGCUGAAUCUCAAAACCAACAAAACUACGUGUUUUACCGCUCGCCCGCAUAAUGUAUAAACGCAAAUUCCCGAAUCUAAUUAAAAAUAUUGUUUUUUUCUUCCCUCUCGGGUUGGGGUUUUUUUUUUUUUAUUAUUAUUACGAUUAUUUUUUUUUAACGCCCGCUUUAUUUCCUUCUUUGUUAUUGUCGUCCCUUUGCAGCUCUCCCCUCCUUUAAUAAUAUUCGUUGUCUUGGCGGUAUUCCACAAGAGAGGUAAUAUUUUCCGGUAGAUAGCUUUUGGGCCACUAAAGGGUCCGGCGCGGUGGUUCUUUCCUUUUCGCUCCUCCAUUCUUUUCGCCUAGUGUUAUUAAUCAUUUAACGUAGUUAGUGCGCGCCGCUGCCGUUCACUCCUCCCCCGUCACGGACAAAGGGGGUUGAAACCUGCCCGCAGGGUUUCUUCGUGUUUUUUUUUUUUUUGCUUUCCUUUCCUCCCCUAUCACGCCCUCCGAGCUCCCGCGCCACUGUUCUCGUUUAAUUUCCUCGGGAAAACGAAAACGACAAAUUUCUGUUGAACAUUAAUUAAUGAUGUUGUUGUUGUUGCCGUUGUUUUUUUUUUUUUCACUCCCGAUUUGAUUUAUUAUUGGAGUACCCGGAGAUUAAUAAAUAUCGAAAAAGAACUACGACGUUCAUUAAUCCGCAUUAGUAUGUACUCGUGUAUAUAUAUAUACAUACGUGUGUGUGUGUAUGUGCGAGAGCGCGCGCCCGUGUGUGUUUAUAUAAAAAAGUAUAAAAUAAAAUACACAAAAAAGCUGUACGGAACGGUCCUCCCCGCGCGAAGUCUUCGACGCGACGGCGGCGGCGGGCGCUUGACGUUUGCUGCACAGUUACCGAACGCUAAAAGUGCGCGGCUCGUAAAUCACGUAAAGCCUCCGCGACUCUGACGUAACUUUUAUUAUUAUUAUUAUUAUUAUUGUGUUGUUUUUUUUUUCCUCCCGUUCAUUUCAGUCUUUCUCUAUAUAUCCUCGUCCUCGACGCCACCCGUUUACUAGUAGUCUGCGUUAUUGUUUACGCGGAACUGAUCGGCACCGGUUUACACCGAUCGCGAGCGACCGUACUGCCGACAGUUGCCGUGCUCGGGACGCCCGGGACGCAUAGGUGUCGCGAAAUUGCCUAUUCGGUCCGCCGCACACAUUUUACUGUAUUUUUCGAUACGGGUAUUAUUCGAAUUUAAAAUCAAAAUAAAAAACACACGUGAGCAGCGAAGUUCCAUCACUAAAGUCGAAUUUCACCCAGCCUAUUGCGCGUUAUGGAGAUAGAGUGGCACCCGAACUAUAUUUGUAUCGUGUAGUAGAAUUUAAAAUUCAAAACCACCACCUACCUCGAAAACUUCUGUAUCCUAAUUUUACUAUCCAAAAAUUAAAAUGUAUAACUUUUGAAUUGGUAUAAACCUAUUCUACCCGAAUAUCGCAAAUUUCGAUUACCGAGUACACCUAUACCUACCUAAAAUAUGAUGUGUAGAAACUGCUAUACUUGAAGUAUAGUUUGGCGCCGUUGUAGAGAUAUGCUUCGUUAAUUCUUUAACAAUAAAUUACCAUAUUUUAUAAUAUUAUACCACAAGUUUACAAGUAUUAAACUACCACCAAAAAAAAAAAAAAAAAAAAGGGAUGCGCAGAGCUAAAAAAAUUCAUCACUAGAAAUAACCGCCAAAUUCAAUUUGAAUUCUUAUUUAAAUUUAAUUCAAUGUUUAUCACUUCAACAAGCCUAUAAAAAAAAAACUCUGAUUCCCGAAUAAAAGCGCAUUAGGUCUGCGAGGAGCUGUAAAAAUGUCCAAAAGUAGCUGGAAAAUGAUCUAUAUAUGUAUUUAUAUAACAGACACAGUAUAGUUUCUGGUUUUUAUUUUUGAAGAAAAUUUGUACCCUUAAAUAAAAUAUGAUAAUAAUUUUUUUUUCAUAAGUGUUUAAAGUUUAAAUUUUUUUGAAAACCGUGAAAUUCACAGCAUUUCAAAACACGUUAAAACUGAACUUCACUUAGUAUCGUUUUUUGUCAAUAAUGAUUUCUUUUUGGAUGCAGAUAUAAAAUAAAUUACUUUUCAUACUUAUUAUUCUACCUUCUCAACUCUUUACCUACAAUACCCAUCAGCACUAUUCAGCAGUAUGUUAUUUGUUUUCAUUUGUAUAAUUACGCAUCAUCUUUUUGACGCUGGAUGUUGCAACACUUUAUUAUGCGUGAAUAAUUUUUUUUUUAAAAUCCCAGUUUUUUUUAUAGGUUAUAGAUUUCAAAACAACCGUUCUUAUAGCCUUCGGUGUGUUCGAGAGCAGGACGCCAUUUACCGCUUCCGUCUACCCAACCGUGACAAUAGUAUAAAAAUACCUUUAGUAAAAUAUAUUGUAGUACCUAUUGGUACGCUUAAUAUAUAAUUUAUAUUGUUGAUUCUAAACGUAGAUCUCGAUCAAACACUCUGAACCGAGCAUUCAGGAAAGGAAAACAAUUUUUAGGGUGCCUAUUACAACUAACUCUUAUUAUAUACUUAACUAACGAGAAUGUAUUAUAUUAUACCUGCCACCUAGCUUUAAAUGCAUGUUUGAUAAGUGAAAAUUUAAAACGCCAAAAAUUGUUAUAAGUCAUCGGCUAUCGGGUAUUAUAUUAUUAUAAGAAGAGGCUUCUGUUACACUGUGCUAAACCUUAUGAUACUUUGCCAAAACAUCAUAAAUUAAGUUUUACGUGCGCCAUCGUAAUUUUACGAUAGAACGGGAUUUAAAAUCUAAUCGACCAAUCUAUUAUCUUCUAUUUUAAUUUAAGAAAGUGUCUGUUUGUCCAUUUGUUUGUUUGCUUACCUGAACGUGAUAUACAGUAAAAUCCAAUGGCGUAGCCAAGAUUUAGGGUGAGCUAAAUACGUUUUUGUUUAAAUCAUGGUUAUUAAGAGGGGUUGGAAGCGUUCUACUACCCCUUAAAAAAACAAUAAAAAUGUUUUAACUAAUGUAAUAUUGAAUGUAAUAAUUUGAAUAAAAUUGCAUAAAAAAAACUUAAUUAUGAAAUAAAGAUAAAAUAUAUAGAAUGGAUGGCCAUAAUGUCUUAUAACUACCUUUUACACCUGUUUAACUACUGCAAUCUCCAGAAAAAUAUUGAUUAAAGGCAGUAAUUUUUAGUAAUUAGAAAUCUAUUUUCUCCUUUUUAAAUAUAUUUCCAUACGAUUCAGUGAAGAACAACACAUUUUUUCAGUGAAUAAAUUGACUAGAAACUUAUUAAAAUAGUAUACAUAUAUUCAUGCGGCCCACGAGAAGGGUUACACCCCUUUUAGAUACUUGUCACUUGCCGAAUUUAUCGCACACAAUGAGUAAUUUGAAAAUUUACAUGCACAGAAUUGUAUCAUCCUUAUGUACUCGAAUAAUCGGAUUUUAAAAAUGUAACCCCUAAAGGAUGGAUGAUAUGUGUGUUUUAGUAUUUUAUUAAUGAACGUAUACGAAAAUUAUGGGUUACUUUUGUGACAUGGACGAAAAUACAUUAGUUUCAUUUUGUUGUCAUAGGCUAGGAUGCAUUGGACGUGGCAUUUAAAAAUAAAUUAAUUGCCGGUCAAUAACAGUUAAAUGUAAUACCUUAUGGAAACGAGGGUGAAAAUGAGGAGUCACUGGAAGACACGAUAUAAUUUGCCGUUUUUACAAUAAAUUUAAAUUAUUUAAUUUAUUUGCUUAAACUAAACAAUUUUCUAACUUUGUUUAAUGAUAUUACACGUAUUACUAACUAUUAUAGUGGAUAUUAUGUGAGAUCAACAAAUUAACGUAAUUAAAAAAAAAAAAAAACAAAACUUUAGUUACAAAUUAUACUAUGAAUAAAAAAUGUAAAAUGUUUGUAUGUUGCUUACAAAAUUUUGUACACGUGAAUACACCCUGGUACCAAUACACCUAUAAUGACUGAUUUAAAUUUAAAUUUAAUUGAUGACUUAUUUAAAUGAAUUAUAUUAUUCGCAUUCUUUAUAACAAUCCGGUGAAUUAAACAGUUCAACAGUGGCGUAAUUUGGUAACGUUUGUGGGGGGGGGGAAAUGAAAUGUUUUUACAUGUUACCCCACCCCCAUUCACAAAACAAAUAUUUUUUUUUUUCAUAAUCACCUUUUAGUAUAAUAAAUGUAUGUACCCACAUGCAUGUGAUCAUCUAAUCAUAAAGUGUUUGUCAGAUAAUCUAAACAGUUAUUAGAUACAUACGCAGUAUGUAUUCCGCUAAAUAAAUUUACUAAACGUACCACGCAGAACAAUAUAUUAAAUCGCGUAUUUUCUAGAAUAUAUCAAUUCCUGCUAAUUUGUCUAGUAUUUGGUGAUAUUUUUGUAGAUACUACUUCAUAUGUAAAGCUCAUUUAGAGGAUCUGAAUGAUGUUUUAUUGUAUUUUAACGUAGAAAAAUCUAUGUAAAAUGACUUAACAAACAAUAGGUAAUCUUAUUUAUGAAAAACUGUUGGUUAAUGUCUUUCGCUUUGGCAGGGCAGUAUGCACCUGCGUUUGUUACGAAGUAUUUAUGUACAGAUAGCGUGGGAAUUCGGGUUUUUUAUAUUAAUUCUGCAAAAUAUAGACUAUAUAUUGUGAUAAUAUUUAUAGUUAAAUAAGUACAUAAAUAAUAUAGUUCCCCGGUCUCUUCAUAAAAAAAAAAAAAAGGUGUUGUGGGAGGGAUACAACACCCAAAUCCCCCCCGCCCCGGUAAUUACGCCAAAGCAGUUAAAUAAUACGUGAGUAUUAUUAUAAUAUUGUACGCACAAAUUAUUAAAUUCGUUUGAAUAGUAAACGUUAAAGACCGUAAUAGUAUAUAAUACGAAUAUCAUAAAUGUCGUAAAUGUUGAUGAAUUAAACGAAUUAAAAAGGAGGAGUUUUUUUUUCGUUAGACAGACACCGGUACACCGGUAUAGUAGUAAUCAUUAAUUAUAAAGAAACUGCGUUUUAUGCUAAUCGCUAGUAUAAUAUCAUUUUAAUUUAUACGCGUUUUUUUCGGGUACCUUUCCGUCUGCUGACCCGAGAUGAAAAAAAAAAAAGGGAUAAAAAAGGAAAUCUUGUUAAAAACGUAAAAAAGAGAGCUGAGCAAGGAUAAAGAGCGGGCGGCGCGGAGGGUAGUGGGGGCGAGCGAGAAAGAGGGAAAGAGAGUGGGAGAGAGAGAGAGAGAGAGAGAGAGAGGGAGAGAGAUAAAGAGAAAGACAAAGUGAGGGAGGAGACGGAGAGAAAAAACGCGGUUCUCAUAGUAUAUUCAGCGCAGUGACGUAAAAAGCUUUUAGUUCCCGGGGCCCCGUUAACCGUUUUGCCGGACUCAUUUACCCUCAUUUCGCGGCGGUGGAGGCGGCGGCGCCGUCGGAAAGGGAAUGGUGUGUAUAAAGAAAACAGGGAACCUUUUUAAAAAUGAAGGGAUUUACUGGAUACGAGCUCUGCGAGGCAUAUACGGCCGCGUAUAAUCGAGAGAAAUGGUCCGGUUGCCGCUCUCCCGCGCCCGCUGACUUCUUAAUGGAACCAGCUUAGUCUUGUUGGCGGACGAGCGCGCGCGGUAAUAUCCCGCCGUCCACGGCUCGGCGGGCGCGGCGGGGAAAGAAAAAAAUAAAUAAAAAUAAAAAACCUUCACCUCCGUGUGUGCGUGUUAUGUUUAUUGCAUAUAUGCCUCCGGGACCGACGGCCAUUAACUUUUGUCAUUUUCUUUUCUUAUAUAUAUAUUUUUCGCUUAUAUUUUUUUUUUUUAUAUAUAUUUUUUUGGCUUUUUCGUGUUUUCCCUUUCUACCGUUCCCUCUCCGUCUCUAGGCUCCCCGUUUACGCGGCGUACGUGUGCGUUUAUUUAUAUCGCGUGUGUGCGGGUCGACUCUCCCGCGGCGGUCGAGCGGCUCAAACGGAUUACACGUUUUCCUCUUCCGUCGCGCCAUUACACUACAAGCCGUUAUUACCGCAGCCGCCUCUUGCUGCGGUGGCCAUUAAGAAAGAAAAAAAACCACACACACACACACACGAGUCGUAUUAUUACACGCGGACUGUUAUACGACAAUGUCCAUCACUUAUUCGCCCGCCCCUACCACGACUCCCUGGAUUUCCGAGACGCGCGUCAAAUAGUCGCAGGACACGUUUGCCACCGGUCACUCGGCGCCCGUUUACGUCGCACCGUAUAGUUAUUGUCGUCUCCUGGCGCCCGCGGCCCUCCGUAAAUUACCUACCCCCGUCUAGAGCGGCUAAACGCGGACGACCGCUUUUAUCGUUCGAAACGUAAUGUCGAUUAGUCUUCUGUAUAACAAGAUUCGACCCAGAACUCGCGGAUCUCGAGAUAUUUGGAAAAAAAAAAAAACCCGUUUGAACUUAUCGUUUUACUGCCACUUCUACCUUCUCUUUUCCAAAUCCGACGCUCAGUGUCGUGCUACUUUGUAUCGCGUGCUACGAGGGGGGGGGGGUUACAGAAUAAUUGACCGCGAGAUCGGAAGAAAUUUGGUUCGAUCGAUUUUCUAUCUAAUUUGACUAUACAACUUAACCUAACCCAUGAUUAGUUAGGCCAAUAUAUUCAAGAUUUUCUUCAAAAUUUUAACAAUUAUAAAAAUUAUAUAUUUCAACAAUAUAAUUUUAAACGAUUUUUAAAAUAUAUUAUUUGACAAUUAUAUAUUUUUUAACCACUAUAAUCAAAACUUAUAAUAAACUUACUGUAAACAUUCAAGUAUUUAUGUUUGACCAAAAAAUAAUAUUUACAUACUGCACCUACUAAAUAAAAACUACCUACGUAAAAAAACUCGCAAACUUAAAAUGCUAAAAAUCCUCAAAAUGUUUUUACAAUGUUACCACGGCUAGAAAAGGCAAAUGAAAGUUUUCUGUAAAAAUUUCAAGUCUCAAUCUAUGAAUAUUUUAACCGAAUCACAAAAAAAAAAUCAAAAUUAAAAAUAAUAAAACCAUUUUUGUAAUAAAAUGACUUUCUUACUCCUUACUAGAUUCAAAUGCACACACACACACACACGCAAACAGCACACAUUGUAAAAACAAAUGUAUACAAUUUUUGGGGACCAUUAACAUAAUAUUAAAUAUCAACACCAGAUAUUAUAGUAGUAUAUUAUAGUAGUUAUUACUGCAUAAGCAUACUGCUCAAAAAUCAUAAAUCACUGCAAAUAAAAUGUCGGCACUGAGUGGAGUACUGUACGAGUUGUAUUUUUCCCUCGUCAAAGCAUAUUCCGGAAAUCGACAUAAAUAACGUAAAAUUAAACGAACAGUUUCCUGUUUUUCUUAAAUAUUAUAAAAUCAACGCAAAAAUGAAAAAACGACGUGCUACGUCAGUUAGAAAAAUUAAAUAAAGUUAACUUAUAGAUAAAAUGCUACUGAUGAUCGGAGCAAGAUUUCUGGUCGAAAAGUUUUUACAUUGGCAGAAAAAACAAAUACAUUUCUCGCUACUCAAAAUCCAAAAAUACAAAAUUAUUUUAUAUUACACCUAUUCGUAUGUAUAAUACAGAAUAUAUUAUAUGUAUUAUAUGUAUAUAACAGAAUAUAUUAUAUGUAUUAUAUGUAUAUAACAGAAUAUAUUUUUUAUAAUGAUCUUAAGAUCAAAUUUUUAUAAGAAUCGUAAAUAUUACGGCAUAUCAAAUCAUGUAUAAACGAACUUCGUUCGGAAUUGUUUUUCGUUGGCAAUGAUUUAUCGUAGCGUACAGAUGUAAACUAAAUAACUUUAUGUAUCCUACCUCCCCAACUAUCCAUCCACAAUAAUAUUGUGCCCAUCAGUAGUACCAUCUCUUUCUUUUAAUUCGUUUUACCAUGAUUUUCAUGUUUUGUGUUUUUUUGUGCUGUAUUUGAAUUUUCCAUCAGAAAUCUCGAUUUUCCAUCCCAAUAAAAAAACAUAAAGACUUUCUUGUAUUAUUUUUGAUCUAAUAAUUGUAUUGAGGAGGUCUUUUUUUGAUUUUUUUCGUAGCUUUCUUAACGAAUGGAAAAAUUCAAAAUUGUUUGCUGUUUUCUGAGUUACCUUGGUAACAAGGGAAAAAUGCGGCUAAUAAUACUUUGAUCAGAAUCGUUUUUCAUUAGUAAUGUUUUAUAUAUGUACCAUGGAAUAGAGGGCAGCCGUGUAGAGAAUAGGUAUUAUCCAUAUGUUUAUUCCGAUUAGACAUUCGAUUGCACUUGAAAUUCAUAUUUCCUAUCUGAACGUGAGAAUCAUGUCUAUAAUUAAUCGAUUUAUUAUAAUUGAAAGCAGACAUAAAGCAUUGGUGCCAUGGAGCUCGCAACUGUUUUCAUUAUUGUUGUUGUCACCACUGUUUUCAUUAUUGUGACUAUUGUUAUCAUUGUUAUUGACGUUAUUCUUUUUGUCGUUAAUGUCAUCGGUAUUAUUGUUAGUAUUAAUAUUUUGUGUGUUUGUGAAUUAUUGUUCCUAAAUAAGUGCCUCCUCGUGGCACUAUUUGUGGAAGGACCAAGGCUCGAUUUAUUCUUCAUGAGACUAGUAAAAGAAAAAAAAAAUCAGUCAACACAACCGUGAGGAAAUAGAAGCUAUAAAACAAUGUCAAAUAAUCUAGAAAAGAUAAAAAAAGAUACCAUGGAUAUGUUUUAACCAUAGAUACCCACCCAGUAUAGCGCAUAGUUUUUUUUGUUUUUUCCAUCCGUGUUAACAACCAUUCAUAUUUUUUUUUCAUUCCGUCCGUGUAGUAAAGAAAAUUGACUACAAUAAAUAAUAAUCUUUUGGUGUGUAUUUGCCGAUUAUUUUAAAAACUAAUAACUAGAUUGUUAAUUAACUUAUAGAACCGGAAACGGACUUAAGCUAUUAAUAGCUUUUACGCGAUAUAUUUUAUCAUUUAAAUAAACCUACAUAUUUAUAUACCUAUACAGAUAUUAGGGCUAAAGUUGAAAAUUGGAUAAUGUAUAAUUUUCGCUCAAUAGAUCCAGUUUUACGCUGUUAGUUUUAAUAUUAGAGUGAAUUGACCUAUGACCAUCCUUAAAGGUUGAAUUAUUAUUUAUGGUUGGGUAAGUUGGUUGAUUUCGAUAUUUUAAUUUUAAAGCUAAACACGGGUACGUGGAAUAUUAAAAUUUGUAUAUCUUCGCUUAUAAAUUAAAAAUUCUAACAAAAACCAACGCGAAAACACCGCGGACAAUGCUGUUGCCUUUAACUUUGGUAAUAGACUAAUUAUUAUUCACUUUAAUGUUAAAAUUAACCGCACAAAACCGAACGAAAAUAUGACAUUGUCCGAUUUCCAGAUGUAAAUAUUUUGUUUGUUUAAAGUAUAUAACACGUAGCCUUAGUAGUUCGCAUAUUCGAUUGAUUGAACAUAAUAAUAAUAGUAAUACAACGUAUGACGCGUAUAGGUGUUUUCGUUUUGUACUAAACAAACGUUCUAUACGCUCGACAUGUCGAGGUGGCGACGAAAGAUAAUGCGAAUAGUUAUAUCGUCGAAUCGCACGCGUAUGGGAUGGGGGAAAAAAAAAAAAUAGCGAAGAAAGAAAUGCGGCAUCAUUGUCGUCGUCGUCGUUAGAGUAGUUUCGGGAAUUGAUGUGAAAGCAAACAAACGAAAUUUGUCGUAUUUUUCAUUUAUUUUUUUGUGUUUGUCGGCGACGCGUACACACGCGCACACGCACACUCACGCACGCACACACAAACCGGAAACGUUUAAACGAUUGGCCAAAUUGAGUUUGUUCGCGAUUAGCGGGCGGCACAAAAAGCACCGCGUGCGGUUACCGCCGCACCGCGCGCCGCCCGGUCCUUCCGUCCGCCCGAGCGUCCGACUCCGUGACGGUGCCGCCGGCGGCGUCGGCGGCGGACGAUCGAUAUGGAUUCGCCGGGAAACGGUUUUAAUUCUCCGCGUCUGUACGGCCAAUAAAUCCCCCACGCCUAAUACACGUCCUAUGCACGGUAUCUGAUCAAGUAUACGGCGGCGGAGUAAACGACAGAGACGGGACGCGCGGAGACAAACGCGUAAAAACGAAGAAAGUGAACAGAGACAGAGCGCGUGUGCGUAAGAGCGGGGAGUGUAAGCGCGAGAGAAACGUGAAAAAACCGAAGGGAUCCUGUUAAAAAAAAAAAAAAAAAAGUCCUCGGGGAGCCGUCGGAAUCGGUUGAUUGUCCCGCGCGCCGCCGGCCGUCCCUCAAUAUCAAGACCGUAUCUAAUCCCUUGCCGCCGGCCGCUCCGAGGACGAGCGGACGGGGGGAACGAAGAACACGACGACGGUUUUCGGUACAAGUGUCGUGUGCGUGCGUGCGUGUGUGUGUGUGUGUAAGGUCCACGUCCAAAAUCGUCCCCUUCGAUCUGCAGCGCCUUGCCUACAUGCGUGGACCGCUGUACACAUAUAACACCACUCCCUUUCCCUCCCCGCCACCGCGUACCGCCCGGCCCUUCGGUUUAUUUUCGCCAUUGGUCACGUAAAUAGUUAAUGGUUCGGAAAAAUAAAGGCGACAAAGAAAACAACACAUUUGUUCCCGGCGGCGGCGAGGAGAAGUAGUGGAGAGGAGAAAAAGAAAAAAAAAAAAAAAAGACUAUUGUUGUUGACCCUGCCGCCGCGGUUUUCCACCACUUGUUUUUCUUCUCCGUCUUUCCGCGCCCGCGACUCCCCGUCAUACACUAUUAUAUACGUAUACACGUAUAAAAACUACUUUUCCGACUCGCCACUGUUUCUUGUGCGCGGACUUAAUGAGAAAACGUAUACGGGAGAACGACCAUAUAUAUAUAUAUACACGCAGUAUACGUAUUAUACGCGCGUUCGUAUGUAGUAACAAAUAGGUUUUUUAUCCUACAAAUCGUUUUGCUAUUGAUUUUCCUUCCGAUUUCCGCCGAAUACAUAUAUAAUAACAUUAUACCCAUAUUAUAUACAGAUACGCCACUCGUCCGACUACGACGACGACGACGACGAUGACGACGGCAGAAGGGUGCAAACCUUCUGAAAACCUUUUCGGCUGCGUAAAACCGAUUAGACGACGUCGUCGUCGUCGCCGCCGCCGCCGCGUUCAGGACGAUUGACGAGCGACUCGCACAUUUCGGUAAUCGUUACAUUUCAACGAUAUGAUAAAAAAAAAAAAAAAAAAAGAAGAAAACCUCGAGUGCAACGUCACCGUUGAUUAUUUCUACGGGCGUUCGGAGCGUUAAAAUUUCGUAUGAAAUUCACGAAAAUCGUUUUUCAUGCCUAUUGUCGCGUAAGCCGCUCGGACCGUCACAAUACGUAUUCGGAAGCCCGUCGUUGUCCCUUAGUGAUACGCGACCGGCUGCGUGUAAACGAUUCGCGAAUGAAAUUAUGAGGUAGCGUUGUUGAGCGUUAUUCUAUUUCAUCGUGUCGGAUUAUUGUUUCGACAUUUACUGAUUUUUAUAAAUUUAAAUCACUUAUUAGGUUAGGGCUUCUGAAAUAACAUUCGAUUUUCAGCUUCACUCGGAUUAUACCGGUAGUCUGACAGAAGACUCGUCAAUAAUCUAAUUUAUUGUGUAUAACACUGCGCCGAGCCGUUAUUUUUCAAUAAUAUCGCACGCGAAGAUGCCGCUGUUGAUAUUGUCGAAUUCCGGAUAACGAUAUCCGAACGACACAAAAUCCUCUAUAGCCACCAUCGAAAAUAAAGUUAACACCGCGAUAACUAUAAAUCGUGAUAUUUUUCAGUUAGUUAUAAUAUUUGUAUAUAUUUGUCUUUAAUCUGUUUUCCGUCGGCGUCUGUUAAAAGGGAGAAAUCCUGUGCGCGCCCCCGCAACUCGCACGUCAUACGCCACGAUGAUCCGGCGUUGAACCCAGGUAUACUCUGGUGAAAAAAAUUUCCCCCAUCCCAUGACAAACAAAACUAUCGGCCAAACGUAUUUAUUAAACGUACAAUGCCCCGUUACUACAUCUUGCGUUUCACGACCGACGGCUAACCAAAAGUUAGUCCGUCCCAGGAAAAUCGUCCGCAUUAAGCGUUGUGCGAUCGUACGCUAUACGACGCGACCGCCUAUUCGCGAAAUUUUUAAAAACCGUUGGUUUUUCUUACAUUCACGAGUAAAUAAUAUUAUGCGCGUAGGUAUUAAAAAAAGAAAAACAAAGGUUUCUUUUUUGGUUUAUUUUUUUUUUUUGUGUUUUUCGCCAUUGUUGUUCCGGGGCAGAAAUUAAGUUAUAAACCCGCCGGCGACUGUACAGAUCCCCCGUACGUAUAGAUAUAUGCAAAACGCGUGUGUGCACCUGUGGUCCAAAGUAGGUACGCUCCCUUCAUACGUGCGCGUGCGCACACGCCCUUUUCGUUAGUACUCGACCGGAAUAUAUUCGUAUUGUGCCGCGCGGAAAACAAUGACGAGGCGAGAGAGAGAGAGACACGGGGCGAGAGAGACAGGGCGAGAGAGAAAGUCUCCGUCGUGUGUACGCGUAGGUAUAUAAUAUACAUAUAUGUAUACACAAUAAACCGCAUUUGAAACUUUUCUGAUCGAUAAGUGCGGCGGAGGUGACGUUUCCCGAGGCGGGAGUCCGACGACCGCGGGUAUGCGCCGCGGUGUACUUCGUAGCGGGGUUUUUUUUUUUUAUUUGUAUUUUUUUUAAUACCGAGACUAAGGGCCGUCGUUACAACAUGUCCCCGGCCGAACGUUGACUGCUGCCUGACAGUACCCACGGUACAGACUCCGACGACAAGUUUACCGCAAAUCGUUAAUACCGGUUUGCCCCGCCAACACUAUUACAACUGUACGGGCCGACCGCGAAACCGGCCGUUUCAGAUUUAACGAUAAUAAUUUUCCGUUCAACAUGGGGGUGCCAGAGAAUAUUUAGCGCCCCCGAAAAUACCCGAUAAGUUGUUUUGUAAUCAAAUAUUUCAUACGUAUGCAUUUCAUAAUAAUUAAUGAGCAGAACAAAAAUACAAUUAAUUACCUAUACAGACAAGACGUGUAUGCAUAAAAAAUAAAGUUAAACAAGUUUUGAUUCGUUUUGUAAAAUUCUACUUAAUAAAAUUUGUGAUUUCUUAUUAUAAGCACCGUUUAAAAAGGGCCCUUGUGGGGGUAUUGCGGUGUGUCUGUGAUUCCAGCACUCCCGAGGUCGGUGGUCUAGUUGCGCCUAUACAGUGCGUAGAACUCCAUGUUGUCAAUCUCAUAUGUUCAAUAUGCGUUGGUAUGCGCUAAAUAAGUUCACCUGUACAAAAAAAACUGCCGUUAACGGUCGCAGGCCAGAUUUAACAUGUCGGGAUAUUGUAGCAAUUAAAUUGUCAAACGCGUUCGUCGAGCCAGCAGCGGAGGCUUUACCGAGACAUUUUAACGACGGCCCCGAUAUACUUACUAUUAUUGUAGCGGCCUUUGGAGAUAAGAUCAUCGGGACACCGCGGUUAUCUUGUUCAGUGUCAGUCAUGCCGUCGCUUAAAGAGUUACGGGUCACCUUUUCCAGUGAGCGUCUACGUUCAGAUUACGUUCGAAUGUCGACAAUUGUCGAAAAUCUACAGGUUUUUUUAAAAAAAAAAAAAAGAAAAAUGAUUUAUUUAGUUUCUGACAGACGUCAGUAAAUAAAAAUAAUACAAUUAUUUAGUGUAAUAAAUUAUUAUUAUGAUUUUUCAACGGAUCACAAAAGUACGAUCGUCACAUUAUUAAAAUUCCAUCGCAUAGGUAUUAAAACUGCGUUUCCCAGCGGCCGCUUUUGAUGGUCUAUAAGUGUCUAGAUCUUAUCAUCUAAGACUGUAACUACAGGGUGUCCUACGAAGAUAUAUCAUCUGUAAUGUCUACUCCGGAGAUAAUAAUCAUAAUUAAAUUUCGGGAUUUUAUUUUAUAUUACUCACAGGAAUAAGGACUACAAAUAUUUAUAUUUCGAUUAAUUUUUUGUUUUGGUAGAAAAACAAAAAAAAUAACUUGUUAUUUUCGAACAAUUUUGAAGAUAACCAUUUUAUAAAGUUUAUUCUUCUGAAAAUUUUGACUUAUUAACUUUUUAUUUUCAAAUAAAGUAAAUAAAUAUAUAAAUAAAAAAAUGUACACAUAAAAAUUAAAUAAAUAAAUGGAUCAAUGCGUCGCCUGGAUUAUUAUGAUAAGUAUUUUAUACGACAGGUUUCGAAUUCAUCAUCAGGUGUACCACAGUCAAAAUGGAAAACGCGACUGAAUAAAAAAAACUGAAUGACGGAAUACAUCGAAACAAAAAAAAAAAAAUUAUGCAAAUUGGUCAUUUUACACAGAGUAUAAAAAUAAUUUAUUUUAAUAGGAGGAAUAAUUUAAAAUUAGUUAUUAGACUUAGAUUUGUUAAGAACUAUAAAUUAUUUGGUUAUUAUUUAUUAUCUUAAAGCUAUUUUUUAUUUAUAUAUCGAUUUACUAUAUUUAUUUACUUUAUUUAUUUAUGAGUAUUAACCAUUUAGGUAAUUUUGUUUUUACUUUAUUUUUUUUAUUUUCAUUAAAUGCGUGAUUUUAUAUAUUUUUUUAAAGUUCAAAGAAGAGUACCUAUAAUUAUGCAGCAGACUGUAAUCGCAUUCACUGAUUGAUUUUUAAUCAUUAUUAUUAUGAUGACAUUCUAUAAAAUGACUACAUUUUUGAAAAAUAAUAAAAUAAAUUAAUGUUUUUCUUAAGUUUUUUACGAAAAAAUAAACUUCAAUGUAAAUAUUUGUAAUCCUUAACCCUGUGUGUAAUAUGAAAGAAAAAAAAACAGAAUUUGAUUAUCUUUAUUAUCUCUGGAAAUAUUAAAAUGAAUCACUCGCGGGACACUCUGUAUAUAAAUAUAUAUAUUAUAUUUGUUAUGGCUCAAUCGUUUAAUUUCUCGGGUUAAUAAUAUCAUUUUAAAUACCAAACUUGACCGAGGAUAAUCUUAUCAGCGGCGCACACUGGAGAGUUCUGACGUAGCUACCGCUACCCCAAAAUCGUAGGUGGUGGCCUAAACAUAUACUCGGAAAAUAAUGCUAGAAAUCUAUUGUGUAAGUUAAUUAUUAUACAGAAUAACUGUUAGUUAACCGUUAAUUUAGUCACCUGUUAGCCACAAUACUUGAUUUGGUGUGGUUUAAAGCGAUUUCGCGAGUUAGUUGUGUACUGACCCCGUUCGAUUUGCCACCCAAAUUUAAUUUUUAGUGAGCAACACUGAUCUUCUAUAUUAGGUGAUAAAAUGUUAAGUAAAUGCCGAAUCUAUUGCACGCAUACGUGUGGAAAUUCGCAUACAAAAGCAGAAUAUGGUUUGCGUGCACUUCGAAACCGGCUUUCCGAAAUUCAACCACUAAUGUAUGGCCGACCGACACAGUUUUUUUUUAGUAUUUUCGGUACGAAAUUUGAAUUUUCUUUUUGUCGAUUUAUGGGUUACUUUGGCGACAUGGAUGCGAUUAAAAACAGAAAUUAUAUUAUUAGUUAAUUCGAUUGUCACGGGCAAGAAAUUACACUUUUAAAACGUAUGCAAUUAAUCACAGAUAGUUUCUACAUUGUGGUAAAUAAUACACUGCGUACACAAAUAACGCAUGAGUUAGUCAAUAUAAAAUUGUCCAUCUUGCGGCUGUUAAAUUCACUGUCGAUUGUAUAUUAAGUUGGUUUUAAACAGUGGUGGACAAGUUACAAUACAUUGUGUAACUGGAUACUAGUUACAAGUUACUCUAAUUUUGGGCAGUUAAUUACAAGUUACAGUUAUGUAUACCCUGAAUAACUGGUUCCAAGUUACAGUUACUGUAACUAUGUUACAUUACAAGUUACAAGUUACACAUACAAUUUAUUAAAUGUAUAUAAAAAUAAAAUAAUACAGUUUUCCGUCAACAAAAUAAAUUAAAUUUAUUCACACAAUAGAUCAAUAUAAUAGUUAAUACAAUAGUUUUUAAGUUAAAGAUACACAAAACUAUUACACACGUUUAAAACACAUCGUUUCCGAGGUUAACAUAAAAAUAUCACGUUUUAGUUACUAUGAAAAGUGAAUCGAAGAGAAAUGUAUAUUGAUGGUUUCACCAUAUUAUGUUAUAGGUAACGACGCACGUUUCUUGUAAAAAAAUUUUGAUCUGUAUAUAGUCAUUACGCAUUAAACUGGCGGCCAUUUUUGACAUUCCUAGAUUAGAUUAGGUUAAAAUUGAUACUUAAUUUUUUUUUUCACAGUGAACAAGUUUUGAACAAAAUCUACGGGCACGCAACGAUUUAAAAAUUUCAGAUUGUAUGCGUUCGACAUAGUCUCGAAAUUACGAAAUUUAAAAUUUCUAUACGAACGCUCGUUGCUUGUCGUAAAACAAUAGUGCGAAAUUCUUAUGGAAUUUCGCACUUUUUUUUUAAAUUUUUAGUUACAUUUUUAUCAUAUUGUAGAAAGAAAAAGUAUGUUUUUUUUUUUUGGCUUUAGGUUUUUUUCACUUUUCUCGUGUCUAACAGGUGAUAUACACGAUUUAUACCAUCAAUGGCUUUACUGUAUUUUUUUUUACUUUUGUAAUAUUAUUUGAUUUCCGUCGUCGACUAACUUUGUCCGCGGACCCCGAGCGUUUGCGAUUUCAUGUCGGAUAACAAGAUGAAUGCACGCAGUUUUUUUUUUUUUUUUUUUGCAAUUUUAUCAUAAUAUUUUCGACGGUUAGCGAAUAUUAUUGUCGGACGAAAACGCGUUUUUCCGCGCGGGGAUUUUCGCGACCGUUUCCGAUCGAUACAUUAUAAUUGACGCGAAGGCAAGAGCAUUAUAUAUUUAUUAUAAUUUAUAAUGAUAAUGUGAUGUCUCUGUUUGUUGCGCGAAGUGAUAUAUAAACACACACCCACACACACACACAUACACACACACACACAUACGCGGUACCUAUAUACUAUUAAAUACGCAUCGCCAUUUUAAGGUUUUACGAAACUCUAUUGUAUGUAGGUACACACACGUCGAUCCAUCGGUCUCGAGAAAAUAAAAUAAAAUAAAAAACCCCCGGACCAAACGAACCGUUGAUUUCGGUUUUCCUAUAUAUGCAUCAUUUCUACGCGAAUAUUAAAAUCAAUACAGCUCGUGUGUGUGUGUGCAUGUGGGUGUGCGUGUGUGUGCGUGUGUGUGUGUGUGUGUGUGUAUGUGUGUGUGGCUUCGUCUCGGCCCCUUUAAUAUGUAUGUAUACGAGCGAAUCUUUCCAGGCGAAAGACGCGAAUGUUUAUUUUUCAUCAAACUACGGAAAUUCGCAAUUAUUUUUCCCAUAUGUGCUCAGAAAAACGUUCGAUAUACAUACAUAUAUAUAAAUAUACGGUAGGUACGAAGAUUUUUUUUUUUCUCUUAACAACCGAACGACCUACGGCUCAUAAAUGGAAAAAGAUUUUAUUCUAAUAAAAUGCAACGCUCGAAACUAUAUAUAUAUAUGUGUAUAUACACGGUAAAAUUAUAAUAAAUUUUUCACGCGUGAUGGAUUACGUACCUAAUAAUAUUAUAAUAAUUCGAACGGUAAAUCUAAAACUCGUAUAUUAACAGGACGAAUUUCAAUUUUAAAAACGAGUUUGCAAUAAAAUUCAUCGCGGCGCACGUAGACAUUUAAGGCGAUCUAUUCCUUUUUUGUACGGGGUUCGGAAAUUUGCUUGUUUAUUAUUGGUUUAUUUUUAUUAUUUUUUUUUUGGUUUUUUUACUUGGCAUUAAAUCUAGCAGAAUGCUAUGGAAAUUUAUGCCUUCGUUUGUCGUGUAUGCAGCAACUUUCUAACAGGGCAUAUAGAAAAAAUGUGUUCACGUAAAAUUAAUCGGAAGGCUUUUGUGAAUUCAUUUUAAAUAUAAAACACACCCAUGUUAGAACAUUUGUAUCUAUAGAUGACGGCCUUAUUGAUAUUUUACAUAAUUUCUCUGAGUAUAAUUAAUUUAUUAUCAAAGGUGAACAUAGUCGGUCAGAUUGUUUUGAAAAAGUUAUCAUCUACAAGUUGUAUAAUAAUUUUUGGUCUUUUUUCUCUAAAACUGAUUUUAGAGGUCUUUUCGAUUGUUGUUUUGUUAGAUACUGUUUGCUAGAAAAAGCCGGCCUCUUAAUUUCGUUUUUUUUUUAGGUGACACUAAAUAAUUAUGAUGACUGCAAUCAUCUGCCAUAAUAUUAUUUGAUCUCUAAUACAUUUUCCAAGGUUUUUAGUUUUUCGUAGAUUUACGCGUGUCAUAUUCGAUCAUAUAACAUUGUUUUUAGAACACUUAAAAAAAAAAAAAACAUUUUUCAGUUGGGCGUGUUUUUUUUUUUUUUUUUUUUUUUAAGUCGUAAGUCGUAAAAAAAUCAAACUCUGGGGAUACCGCAGGAAACGAUCAGCUUUAGCGAGCGGUCAUAAUAAUUUCACGAGAUAGCGCGACGGGUAUCUGUGUACCGCGAUAAAUUAUUUCCGGUCGAACGUGUUCGGUAAAAAAAACAAAAUUCCGGUGCAGUGGCAGAUCCAGAGAUAAAGGAAACUGAUGGUUCAGCCGUUGUGAGAUGACACUUUUUAGGGUCGAAAAUUAUGAUAGUAAUAUAAUAAUUAUAUAGUUCGUCAUAAUUAUCGAAAACUUUUGAAAAUGUGUUGUACGCGAAUGAUAAUAUACGACUGUUUGCCGGUUAUUUAGCGCAAGUGCGGAAAUCCAAAUUAAUCGGGAUAGCCCGAAACACCGUUUAUACAAACCUAUGCCCGAUACCUAUGUAUCUCGAAUAAAGAAUAUGUAUAUCUUAACUACACUGUUCGUUAACAUAUUAUAUUAUAUUAUGUAGUGUUCUUAAAUUACGGUGAUAAUCGGUAUAAUCGGUAAUUGCGAGAAUCUUCUCAAAAAAUGGAGAAUAUUCGGAAAUUAUUAUUUUUUUCCCCAUUCAAAAUUUAUAGUUAAAGGCUGAAACAAAGGACAAAUGGUUAAGCGCCGUCGCAACGUUGCAAAUACCAACAAAUCAUACCGUGUGGUAUACUCGUUGGCGACCAUAGCUCAUAAAACAACGAGCUCUAAUUCCAGAUAAAUUAUUGCCAACCAUCAACCAAUAAUUAAAACGGUAAUUAAUGAAAAUACUUACAAGUCUGAAAAUUGCACGUCUACGUUAGACAUAAACAGAUAAUUUGUGAAAAAUAUAAUACAGUCGUCGAGAAAAUUAUAGAAUUAUAAAAAAUGCAAUGUAAAUACAUAAUUAGUAACUAUUUCUACUAUUUCCUUGAUAUCUAUUUUCAGAUGUACAUACAUAAUUACCAUUAUUUUACAGUUGUUUAAAUUAAAAAAAAAAACAAAAAACAAGAAAACACGCAUGAUAUUUUUGUAACAAAAUUGACUUUAUUAUUUAUCCGACCUACCUAACGGUCCUUAUAUUCGUUUUAUAAUUCAGUAGGUAUUAUUUGCGAACGAACUGCAGUAUUUUUACUUCUUAAAAAUCGUAUUUUAAAUAAAAUUAACAACUUAUUUAAAACUAUUUUUGUUUUAAACGGAAUGGUUAUGUAAUUACAAUAAUUAAAAAAAAAAAAAAAAAUUUUGUUACACUAAUCGUGGUAACCCGAGAUUAUUCUCACAAAUCACUAUAAUAAUAUACUCGUAUAUCCGAUUGGAAAUUAUUCGAUUCUUUUUUUCUUUUUUUGCAGUCCAAUAGUAAAAUCACGAACGUUUAGUAAUCCUAACCUCCCCGAGGUUUUAUUGUUAGCGGCACUUAGAUUUUUCGCCUCAGUGUCCUUAUCCUUUUAUAUUCGACCGUAAACAACGGCGAAGCGGUCGUAUAAUAUCUAAGCGUUCGUCAGAUACGCCGCCCGGCAGUAUAAGUAUUUUUUUAUUAUUAUUUUUUUUUGCAUCGGCUUCGCUCUGCGCAUUAUUAUUAUUAUAAAUGCAAUAUAAUGCGAUUGAUUAAAGCGAAUGCGUUCGGUUCGAAUGAAUUAUUUGUUAAUGGUUAGUUGCGCUCCCCUCCUGUAUAAUUAUAGACUUAUAAAUCUAACCUAUGCCUGCUUUCCAAACUCAUAUCCAAUUAAAUUGAUUCUCCUUUCCUACUAUUUAAUAUUAAUUUUAGAGUUCCUUUACAUUAAAACUGCUCCUUAGUUCCCUUUCGUUUUCCUCAUCAUCCUUUUGCGUAGCAUAAUAUCGGACAAGUUCUAGAAUUCCAAAUUCCAUUAUAGCUAUACAUUUCAUGGAGCUUAAUUUUGAGUUUAUAUUUAUGUUCAUUAACUUAUACAAUAUCUAGACGGAACCCCGAGGGCUGCGUGGGAGACGUGGUCGAACGGAUCUAGAGAGACACGUUGAUAUUAUUAAGCCCAGUGCGUGAAAGAGAGCGAAUUCGCACUCCGAGGACAGCCGAUUAAAACAUUCCGUUCAUUACCGUAUAAAAAUAUAAUUAUACAAUUUUGUUUUUCAAACAGAAACCGCCGUUUUGAACAUGGAUUUAAAUAGAAAAUAUUUGUCUAGCCAUUUUGAGCACAUUUUGUGCACAACACCGGUAUUGGAUUUAUCGUUUACGAGCCAUAACCGUUUAAAGUUGCGACCGGAAGAGUAGGGAAGGAUAAUAAAUUGCGUAUCUAUUUUCAAACGAUAAAUUGAUUACCCUUACCCAAUACCACUCCGACCUAAACUUUAAACGGUUAUAAUAUUCAUAAACGGUAAAUCCGAUAUCAGCGUCAUGCGUAACCGAAUUUCUGGAAAAAUUCUCUCUAUUCGAAUCCGUGUUUAAAAUGAGAAACGCAAAACGAUUCUGAGCGGAAUUCGAUUGCGCGUGUAUAGAAAGGCCGUAAUAUUCACGGAUUGACAAUAAUUUUCCGUUUUCCUACGUUUAUUCCCGGUUUUUUCCAUUUACUGUGAAACCCCCCACCCCCCCGGAAAACCGAAAAAAUGACCGCCUUAACGUACCGAUUUUCUCUCAGGAAAAGUGCUACGCUCGAAAAUCGGAAUGGAAUUUUCGGCAGGACAAUCGUUCGCGGAUAAAAAAAUAAUAAUAAAAAAAAAAAAUCAAACCGCUCUGUACACAAUAUCGGACCGCGGCCCGAUUAUAUUUUAUCGAUUUUGAACGUAUUAAGGGGACGCGCGCGGUUAAACAAAUGCCUAUGCCCUCAUACGCGGUGUAGUUCUGGACAAAUAAUCCGACGCCCCGCCGGCCGAUCCCCCCCCCAUCCUCCUCCCCCCACCCUACGGGCGACGAUUGCGGCCCGCAAUGACGAUCCGUCCUCGGCGACUCGCGCACGGCGAACGGAGCUCCGCGCGCGACGGACCCGAACGUGUCUCCGGCCGGUAUGUGCGGCGCGUAACGUACACGGAUACCUGCCGCGGUUACGACGACGCGGGACGUGUCGCGCGCGCGUACGUAGCGUGUACGCGGGCGCGCCGCGCACUGGGCCGAGCUGACGAAAAGCGCAAGUGCGACGGCGGCACGGGGGGCGUGUGCCGCCGUCAAUUAUUCGCCGGUAUUUUCGUUAUCGCGCGUCGUAUUGUCUCUCUCUCUCUCUCUCUCUCUCUCUCUCUCUUUCUUUCUCGCGCUCGCCCUCACUCGAACCCUCUCUCGCCCGCGACGUUCGCCGUCCCGCUCCCGCUAUACCGCCGCGGCUCGUACGACGCGCGCCCAACGACGACAAUUAUUAUUACGAAACUCGCGCGCAACCCCUUCGCACCGUCUUCGUCGUCGCCGUCCCUCACGGCCGUAGUUUUUUCCCUUCCGUCGUCUACUGUUCUUUAUUCCCCGUUCUUCUUUCGCGGGCCGCGCGCGCAACGUGAAUAAUAAUUACAAUCCGCCGCCGUCGCCACCGCCCGUAAACCGCUCCCCCGCGCGCAAACAAAAAAAAAAGAAAAAAAGAAAAACCACCCCCCCCCCCCGGUAACUCCCUCGGCGAGCGCGCGCACCCACACGCACACACACAAUGGUUAUAAUAUAUUAUUCGUGUAUUUUACUCGUGUGCGUGCGUCUACGGGAGGGUCGCGGUCGCCGCGUCACGGGCGCGAACGCAUCGCGCGUUGUUUCACGACGAAAACCGAAAGAAACCGCGGGAAACGAUAAAAUUAAAACACGCAUGCGAUUCCGGUGCGGAUCUAUAAAUAACUAUCAUAGUGGAUACGAGUCGUAAAUUUGGUUUUUUUUUCUCCAAAACUUUCCUUUCGUAGUCCCGCGCAUACACUCGCCGCGUGAGAAUUCGCGAUCCGAUCCGUUUACGACUUUUGGUUUCGGUAAAAUCGUCAACUUUUCGUGAUUUUUUCUUUUGUUCUUUGUUUUCGUUACGCGUUAAUUCGUGUCGGUGUUUCGUACGCGUUUCGUCCGUAAAACCGUACUUGGAAACCUGUAAUUUAUUUGUUCAUUUGCCAUUGUUCAAAACGUCUCUCGUUUUCGCCCAAAACGCGUCAUCGACGACGGGGUAUUUCAUGGCGUUUCGGGCGGGGCGUUUUUCGUUUUUCGCUUUCACCGCGACCGUCGAAAACGCGCGUUUCGAUUCGGGAAAACAACGCAAUAACAACGGAAAACCGCCACGGGGCCCGGGAACCAUGCGUAUAUGGCCGCUGUUGUAACGCGCGAGCCGCGAGAACCCCUCGGUAUACCGGCACGCCAGCACCCCCCCUACCCCGGGGCCGACCGUACCGAAUAAAAUAUUAUUAUAACGAUCGGAAACAAUCUUAAUUUCGUCUCUCCCACCACCCCCCCCCCACUGCCGGCCCGGCCCCGCCGACGGAAAACUUUCGUUCCCGUUUUGUUCGCGCCGCAAAGUGCCACGGGAACAUUACGGGCAUGCGGGCGGUCGUCUCUCGCCGUUCACCGGUCCCGUCCGUCCCGGCGUCCCGCGCCGCCGCGACCGCCGUCCGGCCGGGCGCGUUAUGCGCCGUGAGGGUUUCGGUUUCGGGAUAGUUUCGCCCGGUCGACACGCGAACACAAAACGAUUACGGUUGAUUUCGGUUUUCGUUUUUCGGACAACACGUUUCGGUACGUUUCUCGCGAUACGUCUGCGAGCGAAACGCGAUAUUUCGGCCCGGCGCACGGUUCGCCGGCCCGCCUUUCGCGAGCUCCGCGCCGCCGUCGACCCUGCGCGCGCGCCCCGGUCCAACCAGUUUCCACGUGCGAAUUCCGUACUCGUCGGUUGUUCCGCACGGCGAUACCGUUCCCGACGGAACGCCCUCACCCGCCGUCGCCCGUUAACGCGAACGCCGGCGACGCCGUGCCGGGCGCGUACGCGUCUCCAAAACGCGGGCCGGUUGAUUAUCGGCGAGCGUCCGGCGCGACAACGCGGUCGAGUCGAACGCGGCCCGCGUUGUUAUUGCGCGGUCGCAUUUUCGGGGCGAACGCGAUACGGUUGUGCACGCGCCGCGCGACGGACGGCCGCGGCGAUUUCGCCCGGGCCCGCGAACGCGCGACGGCCGGACGGACGGGUUGCGCCGGGCGAUCCGUCGGAUGUCAUUGGCUCCGUUUUCCGUAACGUUUUACGAACCGCGCGGCACUGCGGUUCUCGUGUUCGCCGGGACGAGAACCGGCCGGCCGACACGCCGCUCGGGCACGAGUCGCCGCGCGCCCGGUCGACAACUCGCUCCCGCGGGGCGAACGGCAAACCGGAACGGGGGAAUAUUGUCGCCCGUCCGGUUCGUGGCGGCGCGACAAUUGAAAAAAGGACUUUUUUUUUUUGUUUUUUACCGCGGCUAGAGCGUUUUAAAAUUUAACGAGCCCGAAAACGCAUCCGAUUUCCGCGUAUGAGCGAUAAGCGAGUAAAAGUCUGAAAAUUUUUUUUUUUUUUACUAAAACUAUCAAACGCGCGCGUGUGUCGGUCGGAGCGAGACGAUAUUGAGCGGAUUGUUUGCCGGCAGUCGGCUUUUCCGGUUUUUCCGCAAUCGAAACUGAUAUACGAACGCGAGAAAACUCGGUACGCGCGUUUGUAAUAAAUUCGGCGGACGCGCUUUUCCAGGCCCCGAAUCGGGCGCAUGGUAAUAAAUUGAUGAUUUUUAUUUGAUUACGCUAUGAGAGUGCCCUCUCUGGGAAAUUAUUAUAACACAAACAUUCCCCCCACCCACCGCCCCCGCGAAAAAAAAUCGUUCUCGCGUUACUGUAUACAAGAGCGUAGUCGGUUCGUUUUCGAUGUUUUUAAUUUUACGAUUCCGGCGAUAAUUUCGAUUUUGAUUUUUUUUUUUUUCUAUUUUAAACGGUUUUUCGCGAAACGGGCGCGUGCCGGCAAGUGGCGCCGCCAACCGGAGACCGCGUACCCGGCGGCGGUACGCAUCCGGGCGCGGUGCGAAUAAACGAAACGGAAUGGAAAACGGAAAGGCGAAGAAUACCCCGUGCGCGUGUAUGUAUAUAUAUAUAUAUACAUAUACGCGCGCGGAGGGACUCGACAAUUCGCCCCUCGCCGCACGAAUCUCACCCAUUCGGCCGAAACACAAUACGCGUAUGCCGUACACAGCGGUACGGUAGAGCCGGCGUAGAUUUUCUUCGGGUUUUUCCCCGCCCGUCGCCGUCGCCGCGCCCGGCCGUACACAGCGGCGGCGGGUUUAAUAAUUAAACCGCGCCCGUAUCGCCGCGAAACCGGAAGACGACCCCAUUAUUAUAAUAACGUACGGACGGACAAGCGGCGGUCCUCUUUUACUCCGCGUUCUCAUUCUCGAGAACCGAAAAGAGAAGGAAAAAAAAUAAAAAAAAUAAUGCGAAUUAUCGGAGAAAAGCGUAGAAAAAAAAAAAAAACGCUAAAUAUUUCUUACGAUUCGCGGGCUGUCGGACGUCCGGAAACGGAUUGAUGGGGGGGUGGGGGGUGACGGCAGGAGGACCGUGGGGGACCCGGGACGGUGUUCGGCGAAACGAAAAAUCGCACGGUCCGCUGGCGGCAAAGAAUCGCGUGCGCUGAAUUUUCUCUUGUACGCAAAUUGCGGAAAAUAAAAAAAAAAAAAAACGAACGAACGAACGAACGAGAGANAUCGCGUGCGCUGAAUUUUCUCUUGUACGCAAAUUGCGGAAAAAAAAAAAAAAAAAAAAACGAACGAACGAACGAACGAGAGAUACGGCGAAUUAACCGAGUUUUUCGUUUUUCAUUAUUAUUCACUUCACCCCAUCCCCUCCCGCACGCCGGUCGUAGACUCACGCGGUCCCCGAAGCAAAUAUCCCUGCGACGGUUCCGCCGGACGGGGACCGCGGCUUUUGCGUAUCGUAUGUAUCGUACGCACUUCGGCAUUCCGGGUGUAAACCGUUUUCCGCCCUCCGGUUUUUUUUUUUUUUUAACCGCGGUCCGACGUCCGCGAUUUCCGGUAAAAUCGAUUUCGGGGGCUUUCUCCCCGGCCCGGUCAUUCAUGUAUACAAUCCGAGCGCGGGUUUCGUAGGCGGUUCGCUCUCGUUUCCCGUUGGCCCCGAAACGGAGCUGUGUCGGCUGUACAUUUGAUUUUGUACCGCGCCCAAAUGCACACUCGCGAAAUCGUAUUAUCAUUUCGAUGAUUUUUUUUUUCUUUUUUUUUCUAGUAUUUCAACGCGUUUUCGAGGUUUUCGGGCGCUCUCCGUUGCCGUAACGCUCCCGUAACUUUUUUUUUUUCGAAAACCUGUUCGAAAUAAACGUAGUGUAUUUGUGUUCAUAUCGUGUAAAACGCGUGCCGUGGACAAUUGCACGUUCUAAAUGCGGGCAUGACCCCUCGUCGUUCGUCAGUUCAUCACGUGCCGUACCUGCGUAACGGAUUAGUUUUCUAUUGAAACGGCGAUAAACCGAUUACAACGAUUUUCAAUUUAAUGAUUUUUUUUUUUUUUUUCGGAACUUUAUCGCUUUAUUUUAAAUGCUUUUUUAUUGUUUUUUUUUUUUUUAGGCGUUGACCGUUUCAAAAUCCGUACUCUAACCAUCGUCCUUUCUGGUCGGUUUCCGUACGCGCGCAACCGAUUAUCCUAGCGGGGUUCCGCCCCCUAAAGCGCGUCUCCCACAUCGUGGACCGCGUCUUCACGCUCCGUUCUGGAUUUACCCGGCCGCGGUCUAUUCCCCGGUUCCCGUUGCACGCGUCUAGCCCGUCACGGUUUUUUUCCGUUAGAUUAUGUGCGGAGCGAGGGAACGUAUUGGUUUUACGACCACGUAAAUUCUCUGUUUUUUUUUUUCUUUCUCUGUAAACAAUUUUUCUACCAGGAAUUUCGCUCGGACUUUCAAGUGUACCGAUUUUCCUGAAAGGAAAUCUCAUUGAGGUGGUACUUUAAGGAGAUCGGUUUUCGACAUUCCUAAGGAUUUUCCUAACAAACGGGAAUACCCGGACAAAAAACCUAGGAACAACGGGAAAAUUUACGGAGCACUAUCAUUACGGCUAACCGGACUUCGCUUAGAAUCGUUUUCCGUUAGCAAUGGUUAAUCGUCAAUUACAGGUUUAUUUCCCCUGCGUCAACACCCGCCGACCGCGUCAUUGCGAUUUGCGAGUAUCAAGAAAAUAUUAGUGAUAGUCCUAUACUUUCCGCGCGACCGAGAACGAAUUUUCCAUCAGAAACCUUACGUAGAUUUUCCACAGUUUUUCUGGGAGAAAGUUUCGUCUUGUCGGUGUAUUGGACUUGUAAAACGCGAAAAUUUACGGGGAACAAGAUUUUAUUGUUUUUUCGUUGUAAUUCGGUUAACAAUAAUAGCCGUGCAGACGUGAAAUUUUUACAGAAUAUUUUGAUAGAAACGGUACAUUUUCUGGCCAUUCACAGACAUUUUAAUAUUAUCCAGAUUUAAUCGUUUCCGUCCAGCACAAAUGCUUUUUAUUUCCCUUAGCAGCGAUCGCGCAUUUUUCUGCAAACAUUACGCGUGUAAUGCAUUCAGAAUCGGUUAUUAGUAACCGAUAGUACAUUUAAGAUAUUUUCAAAAGUGUUAUGCCCUCACGACGUUGCUGGUGAAAAUCGAUUUUUGACCUUUCAGUUUUGCGAUAAUCGCUGCAUUGUGUUGAACAAAAAAAAAUGUGGUGAUAUUCUGUUUUCCCCUUUUAUAAUACCGUAUUUAUUGGCCACGCGUUUUAAUACCGUCCGUCGCGUAAAAUUACGGCAGUUUUCCGAGAGCGUUGAAAAAUCACGUGCGUUUUCUAUAAAAUGUCUCCAACAAUCUACGGGGCCGGAACAGUCGGAGUCGGCACGGUUUCCGGGCGUAACAAGCGCCGUCGGGCCGUCGAUUCCACCGAUCCGUCGUAACGACACCGCGCGUCGUAAACGUCGCGAACGCGCCGUGUCGCCGGACCGUACCCGCGUUCCCGCGUGCGCAGCCGUUGCUCCGGGAAAUUGUUUACGCGCCUUCCUGGCUACAAGUUGCACGGCGGCAACGUUCUUCCGGUCACGCCGAACGCGCGUCGAAACGCGGCCGCGGCCGACGACCGGCGAGAGUGCGCCGAUUGUCGCGUGCAAUGUUCGCCGGAAAAAAUCGGAUUUUUUUUUUUCCUUCUUUCUUUCUGUCUUAACCGCGAUGCGUUUUAUCUAUAAUAUUGAAUAUCAAACGCGAAAAUUAUUUAAGUUGCAUUUACCGUUGUUUCCCGUCGGCUCGGUCCGUCUAUCAGUUUAACAACGACAACGACGCGAUUCGCACUGAAUCUCUGUCUUUUCCGCGCGCACUAUUGACGGCACUGUAUCACGCUUUCGAAUAAUAGANGGCAACGUUCUUCCGGUCACGCCGAACGCGCGUCGAAACGCGGCCGCGGCCGACGACCGGCGAGAGUGCGCCGGGCAGUCGCGGCGCGUUGCUCGCGGAUUCGGACCGCGGCGUACGGCGUCCGUGGAAAAAAAAAAAAGCACCGCGGUGUUCGGCAGGAACCGCGCGUUACGACGGAAAACGAUAAUAUCACUGUGACGACUGCGUGGCCCGCGCGGGGGGGUGUCGCGGGAGCCGCGUCCGCGUUCACGGCCGGCCGAGCCACGGCUAUUUGCGUCCAUUAACCGCGGAGCGUCCGUAAAGUCGAACGUUUUCAAAACGCGUAACUCGUGUUUCGCGCGUUCGUUCCGUCGUUAGUUCUACGGAAACACCGCGCGGUCCAUCGAUUUGCGUCGAUUGUCGCGUGCAAUAUUUGCCGGAAAAAAUCGGAUUUUUUUUUUCCCCUUCUUUCUUUCUGUCUUAACCGCGAUGCGUUUUAUCUAUAAUAUUGAAUAUCAAACGCAAAAAUUAUUUAAGUUGCAUUUACCGUUGUUUCCCGUCGGCUCUGUCCGUCUAUCAGUUUAACAGCGACAACGACGCGAUUCGCACUGAAUCUCUGUCUUUUCCGCGCGCACUAUUGACGACACUGUAUUACGCUUUCGAAUAACAGACUUUGAAUCAUUUUUCGCAUAUUCGUCGCGUUUAUUCACGCGCGUUUUACCGUUUGUUCGCGCAUUUUUCGCCAUUUUUAGCUCCUGCAUAACUUCCGAGUCUAUAAUAUAUUUAUUAUUUUUUUUUGCGAAUCACCUUUGCCCCCGUUCCCCCCACAGGAAAAGGUCCGCGGACGACCAUCGACCGCGCAACGUAUUGUUUAUAAGAAAAGAAAAAAAAACAAAACAAAACAACGAGCUCUCGGCCGCCGUCCGAUAAAUACUUAAAACCGAUUUCCGGCGAGCGCGCACGUCGAUGAUGUACACGCGUCCGUGUACAGGGUGUGUUGUCCUUGCGAACAAUACUCGCCUGCCUACCUACGCGGUGUGCGUACGCGUCAUAACAUACCUACGUCAAUAAAUCCAAAGGCCUGUUAGACGAUUGUAAGGGUCAAAAAGUGCCCGCCCCUCCACGCCGGCACGAGUAUUAGAAUCGAGUACGAAACAUGAAUUCUCGGAACGGGUUCAAUCAUUCCGUCUCGCUCAUUCUCUCUGUUCGGACGAAAAUCAAAACGCGCUGGUAACGCCUUAUAAAAUAUGUAACCUUCGCAUUUACAAUAACUGCGCGUGCGAUAUUAUAACAGCGAGCACUCGAACCGCAAAGCAAAUAAUGCCGAAAAAAAAAAAUAAUAAUAAUAAUAAUAACAUUAAAACGCGACUAGCAUGUCACCUGCGACCCACGAGUUAAACAACAUUUUUCCGGGGGGGUCGUCUAAGAGUCGGGAAACACACGUUGUAAAUACGCGGUCACAGCGUGAAACGGCUUCCGAAUGAAAUGUAAACUAAACGGCGGCGCGGGUCCCGAGUCCAGUAGUCCAUUUUUUUGUUUUUUUUUUUUUGCGGGAGGGGUUUCGUCAAUAAUAAUUGACGGGGGCAAUGAGGGGGCAAUAGCCCUCCCCCCACCGGCGUCGUUUUUUUGUUCUCGGCUAUUUAAUAUUAUUUUCAAUAUAUUAUGUGGUUCUUGUAGUAUUGUUAUUAAAUUUAAAUUUGAAACAAUAUGUAUAUAUAUUUAUUUAUACAUUUCGACACUUUUAAGUACAUUUUUUACCGUAAAUACGAGAUUUCAGAACCCCCUUCCCCCAUUUUAAAUUACUCGUUAGGCCAGUGUUUCUCGCCGUAUAGUUUUGAACGCGAGAUUUAUAAUAUUAUUAAAAUUAGUGUUUUAUUUUUCUUUUUUUCAGAACUAGACCGCGAUUGUUAUGGCGAAAUCGCGACGCGGCCCAGACGUCGCUACACAACACUAUUGAAGUAUAAUUGAGUCGUCUACAGUCGUCAGUACUUUUAUGCAUCUCCGGAAGAAGAGUAGUUCGCCAAUUUUUUCGGUUUUUUAUUUCCCGACAACAGUACUAUUCGAUGGGGUUUUCGGGGUGAUUGUCGGGGCCCGUCCGGCGAAAGCAUAGAUGAUUUGAAUAACAUCGACGGCCCAAAUAUAAUACCAUAAUAUCGGAAACGCGCCGGUUAAAAAGGAAAAACGACGCGGUCCACGCAGCUGUUUUGCUCUGCUGAACGACUUUCGAAAACGGAUUAAUAUCCGACUUCUCCUGCCGCGAGUCUUUUAAAACGAACAAAUGCCCGGUCAACGCGCCGAGAGAAAAAAUACGGACAUACUUUGCACGUGGGCGGGCCACUAUUGUAGGUGAGAAGUUCGAAAAGUAGAGGAGAAAUUGAACGUAUUAUCUGAACGCAACGAUUAACCAUAUUGCUAACGAAAAACGAUUCAGAUCGGAGUCCGGUUAACUGUGUUGCUUUGUCAAUAAUAUGGUAUGACUUAUUUCGG